rnacentral:lncRNA from 1 species
CUUCAGAUGGCAGAUCAGACAUUCUGAAAGGUUAUUGUCAUGGGAGAAGACGAAUUCCAUCCACUCAUCAUCAAUGGGAGACCGUUCCUCAGCACCGUUAAAGCAAUCAUCUACAUUGGAACCGGAGAAGUCCACAUGAACUUCCCCACUGAGAAGGUACGCUGCUAUUUUACUGACCCUAACUAUAUAGUUGAAGACUCUAAGCAGGUCAGGAAAAGAAGGAGACGAUGCAAUCGCAACCAGAGGAGGCAAAUCAUCAAGGAUGGAUGGGCAGACUACGAAGGAGAAGUGGCGCCACCGGAACCACCGACUACGCCAUCCAGCGAAUCCCAGGACGAAUGAGAAAACAGAGAGUCCCGUUCGGAGGACAUAAAAACACCAAACGCCUUGCCAAGAGGUAAACUGGUAGUUAUCUUUUUCCUUUAAAUUAUUUUAAAAUAGUUUGCUUAGUUAAUCUGGUUCAUAUCAUCUUGAAAAGAAAAUAAAAAUGUUAAAAAUAGUAAUCCCCAUGUGAGUAUGCUCAUGACAUAAAAUCCAUAAGUACAUUCACUGUGGUGGCAUAAAAUAAAAUAAAUAUAUUUAUAUGCUAUAAAAAUGAAAAUAUAAAAAUAAAUUUAUGAUCCUACCAAAGAGUGUAACAUUUAUUGAGGAGGCUCAACAUGAUAAAGGCUAGAUAUUUAUGCUAACACUUAACAAGUUCCACAAAGCUUUGUUGUCUAUUUGAGCUCCACAGAAUUCAAGGAUCAAAGAAGACUAGCAGACGGAGGACAUCCUAACCGCUGUCAGGAUGCUGCCGACAUUCAAAAACACCUCCGCCACCUGCUAGCUACAUCAGAAGAAAUUGCGUCAAAAUCCAGCUUGGGGGAGAGCACCCCCAUUUAUCCAGCUAAGUGUUCUACUCACGUUUAUAUUUUACUCAAAUAAUAAAAAGAUGCAUAAUCAUAAAAACCCAAAUAAAGAUUUUGUUCUUAUAUUUUUGCUUAGUUUGAUAAAUAAAUAAAUAAAUAAAAUUUCCUAUGAACCCUCAUGAUAAGCUCUCAGAUGGAAAUGAUGAAUAGUUGCUCUACCAUGACUAGAUCUCAAAAUUAAAAUCUCUCUCAAGUUUAGGCAUGACUGGUAUUAAUUAAGAUUUGCUCUAAACCUGAACUUGUGGGAAGAGUACUUGAUCUAGAGUCUAAGUCGUUAACGGAUAUGAUAUGGGAAGGUUGAGCUGCUGUUUAUCUGUUCCUAGAGAUGCUAGAAUUCUGGAGAAUUUUAUCUUUGAAAAAAAAAUCUUUAAAAUGUUGCAUGAUGAGUUCCUGUAUGAUGAGAGUUUAAAUUCCUACCACAGCCAUAUAUACAUGCUUGCUAGACUUUGAGCCACACAUUUACUUUUUACUGCUUAUGAGCAUUGAGUGUGGUCAAGCUGUGUAGACCCUUAGGAGCUUGUCAUGCGGUUAAAUCAAGAUUCACUUGCACGUUCACUCAUACAUGCCACUUCUACUUCGGAAGUACGCAUCCACAUAUGUCCACCCAUUUUCAUCUCCAAAAUCACCUAAAAAUAUUCUACUCCUAAUCCGGGAGAGAAUAGCCAAAAACAUUUCUGUUUUUCCCUUUGAAAUAAAUGCUCAAGGUAUCUUGGUUACUACCACUUGCUAUAUUAUUUCAGGAGAUGAGUGCUCUAAAAAGAGAGAGAAAAAAUAAAUACGAUGAAAUAAAAAGGGGCAAGUGCCCGGAACCUCGAAAGAAAAAAAAAGUUAGACGAGAGGUACAAGAUACCCACCUGGGAGAAAAGAAAAAGAAAAUACAGAGCAUCUCACUCUCCUCAAUAAAGUUUCAAAAGAGCAAGAAAGGUAUGUAUCCCCUCAAAAGAGCAAAUGUAGAAAUAGACUUUCACCAUUGUUAUCACCAUCAUCACCAUACACCAUUCAUUUGCCACACAUGCAUAUCUUGAUUUGACUUAUUGACCUGAUCUUCUGGAUCCAUGGUUUGACUAUGCAAUAAAUGUCUUGUAAGUAUGUAUUAGCUGUCUUCCACCUAUGAGCUCCAGAUAUCAAAAUCCUUAUUAGAGUAGGGUGAGAGAGAAGGCAAUGUUACUAUGCCUCAUACCAAAAAUACCACAUAAUUUGAGAGAAGGCAUACACCAUUACUUCCUUGGUAAGGAUCCAGAAAUACCACAAAAGAGAGACUAGAGAGAGACAUACAAGGAAUUGCUGAGUUUUAUUUGAAAAUCUGCAAAAACUCCAGAGCUAUAGUUAAUCAAAGAACAAGAGACAUGGCGCUUGACUUGACCGUUCUAUCUUUUAACUGCUCAAGACACAAGUGACGGUUACAAGUCCCAUGGUGAAAGGUAAAUGAGUAAGUUUUAAGUCUUAACAGUUUACUCUAACCAGAGAUGAGAUCUUGUUUAAACGGAUGUGUAUCUUUAAGGAAUGAAACCACUGCAGAAACUCUUGAGUCCAUCUUUGCUUGGGGACGAGCAAAGGUUAAGCUUGGGGGAGCUUGUUGACGGUCCUUAAUGCUCACAUUUAACCAUCAAUUAAUCAUGGAAAAGGAUCCAAAUGCAACCAACACCUAGACUUAGGGUUUUAUCUGACAGAAUUCCACGAGUUUUGGUGUUUGUCUAUUUCUGCAGGGGGUUAUCAGGAAAUACGAAAGAAAGGCCCACACGUCGGGUUUACAUAGAGAUAUUAACGUGUCGCCCAAUUUUCUAUCAUCUAGAAGACUCCAGAAGCCACGGGAACGAACGGGAAGGAAAUCGGGCUCGGAGGCAGGGCGCCCGCCCAACUCUCCUGGGCACCCGCCUAGCUACAGUGCCCAAUCAGGACACGUUUCGCGGAUUAUUCUCCACCGACCUAAUGGAUCAAGAAAAACCGUGCGAUCAAUGUCGGUUUGAUCCGACGGCCCAGAUUCACUUGAAGGGACUAUAAAACCAGACCCCCUGGCCCCUGGAGAUCAUACCUCUUCUACAGAAUCAAAGCUAGGGUUUCAAUUCUUCAUCCAAGUAGAGAGGAUCCCUCUAGUUCUUCUAGUUCUACCUCUAGUUCUUCUAGAUCUAGUUGUAGUUCAUCUAGUUCUAGUUCUAGUUCCUCUAGUUCUAGUUCUAGUUAGUUCUAGUUGUAAUCUAGAAAAUAGGGAGAGAGAAGAGGAGAGCGGAGGAGGAGCCGGAUCUGUCGGAUCUUCCUCAACAUUAUACUUUUGCAGCAUCUGGUUCGUUCUUCAUCGUUUUCCAGGUUCUUCAAUUUAUAAUUCCUGAGUUCUCUAAUUACUUUUAUUUACAUUCAAGUUAUUUAUAGGAUUCCCGCUUGCAUCAAGUGCUCUAAUCUUUGAAACAUUAGAGUAGUAAUUAAUAGAUUAGACGUGGUGUUUAGUCUUGCAAUUACCUAGAAUUGCACCCAAUCCUGCAGAUUGUUGUGGUAGCCUUAGGGUAGUGACAGCCCUAACGGUCGACGUAUUCCACCUCGUUCGGAUCGGUGUUUGUAGGACCGUAGUCGGAGCUUCCUAGCCCCCUUCUCAUCUCUUUCUGUGGUUAGUGUUCUGAUGUCCCAAAAUAGAUAAUCUUGAAGUAAUUCUUGAUUCUUAGAUCAACUAGAGAACUCUCAGGAAACUUCCUCUCUUCCCACCAAAAAUAAUUAUAUAGUUAUCCUUGGGCGAUCUUGAAUCUUAAUUAGUACACUCACGUUCUCUGUGGAAAAUCGAUACUCUGGAAUACUCCCGCGUGAAAGCUACAUCGGUAUCCGUGCGUUUGCGGAUUUUUCCGUUUGCGUUUAAAAUACCCAACAGUAUGAUAGACCUACUCGGCAGUAUCAGAACGAUAAUUGGCGAUUUAAUGGGCCGAUUAGGGGGAGAGCCUCAGUCCAUGAUCGGCUGGGGGGCAGACUCAGUGUACAUGAUAGGCUGGGUGAGCGUGCAGUUAUUUUCCCAGAAACCAAGAGGAGCUUGAGGAGAUGGCAGACGCACAAGUUCCCGAUGAGUUCAUAUUUUGUAGAGAUGCUAAUACUUAUCGAAUGGAGUCAAGAGAAAAUCGUCAUCAAUUGGUAAGGCAGCCACAACUUCCUCCAUGGUGUCCAGAGGGGCUAACUAGGACACAUAAAAAGAGGUUGCAGCGGGAGCGACGAGAAGAGUUGAGUAAAGGUGAAAAUUCUUCUAAGUCUGGAGAUCAGCAACAGCUGGAUCCUAAAGGAAAAGGGCCAUCGGCAGAUGUUAAUAUGGUGUUUAUGUUGUUGAUGGAGUUCCAUGCGCCUGUUAGUGAUGAUGAGGAGGUGGAUUUUUCUGACCAGAUAGCUCAGUUGGCUCUGGAUCCGAUGACGGCUAUCUUUGAAAAGUCUAUCGACAAUGAAAGACACCAUCUUAAAGCUCUGUUUGUCAAAGGUAGGGUUGAUGGACAGCCGAUGACCAAACUACUUAUUGAUGGUGGGGCUGCUAUCAAUAUUAUGUCGUAUGCAGUCUAUCGGAAACUUGGGAAAGGAGAUCAAGACUUAACCAAGACCGAUAUGAUGUUAAAAGAUUUUGAAGGGAAUGUGUCUCCAGUUAAGGGUGCCAUAUGUGUUGAGUUGACCAUCGGCAGCAAAACUUUGCCAACGACUUUCUUUAUCAUCAGUGGAAAGGUUGCUUAUAAUCUACUGUUGGGGAGAGAUUGGAUCCAUGCCAAUUGUUUCAUCCCAUCUAUAAUGCACUAACGUUUGGUUCAGUGGGUAGGUGACAAGAUUGAGAUUGUCCCAAGAGAUUCUUCGUAUGUCAUAGCAUCGGCAGAGGCAGAUACUUAUUAAAGGACCAGAUGCAUUUCAGGGGAGAUUUGGGAAAAGGAUUUUCUCAAAGAUGCCGAUUAUGAAAUUCCACCGAUCCAAGCAGUCGGUUCUGACGAAGAGUUUUAAUGGAUAGGUUCGCCGAUGAUGGAAAAUUAGGCCAGGGGUUUACAUCGGCUGAUGAUUUGGUAGAAAUAGACAUAGGUAAUGGUGAUAGGCCAAGGCCUACUUUUAUUAGUGCUAAGUUAGAUUCUAAGUGUUAGCAACAAUUAACCGAUUUGUUAAAGGAAUAUAAAGAUUAUUUUGCUUGGGAUUAUACUGAGAUGCCUGGUUUAGACCGAUCGAUCGUUCAACAUCGGUUGCCUAUCAAAUAUGGAUUUUGGCCUCAUCAGCAGCCAGCUCGCCGAUGCAAUCCUAAUAUUCUUCCUGAUAUUAAGGCCGAAAUAACUAAACUUAUCAAAGCUAAAUUUAUUCGGCAGUGUCGGUAUGCCGAGUGGAUUUCCAAUGUUGUUGCAGUUUACAAGAAGAAUGGGAAGCUUUGUGUCUGCAUUGAUUUCAGGAAUCUUAACAAGGCUACACCGAUGGAUGGCUAUCCAAUGGCAAUAGCCGAUUUGCUAGUUGAUGCUGGAGCUGGACAUCGGAUUAUUAGCUUUAUGGAUGGCAAUGCAGGAUAUAAUCAAAUAUUCAUGGCCGAAGAAGAUAUUCCAAAGACUGCAUUUUGAUGUCCUAGUCAUGUUGGGUUGUUUGAAUGGAUAGUCAUGACCUUUGACUUGAAAAAUGCUGGUGCUACUUAUCAGAGGGCUAUGAAUUUUAUCUUUCAUGAGUUCAUCGGUAAAUUGGUAGAAAUUUACAUUGAUGAUGUGGUGGUUAAGUCUGGAGAUUUCACAAAGCAUCUUGCCAAUCUGCGAAAGGUGUUGGAGUGCACAAGGAAACAUGGUUGGGAGAUGAAUCCUAACAAUUGUGCAUUUGGUGUAUCGGCAGGGCAAUUCUUUGGUUUCAUGGUGCAUCAGAGGGGAAUUGAAAUUAGUAGGAGAUCUAUUGAUGCCGUCAACAAAAUAGUUGCUCCCACCAACAAGACUGAACUCCAAUCUCUGAUCGGCAAGGUAAAUUUUAUCACGCGAUUUAUAUCUAACUUAUCUGGUAAAAUUCGUGCUUUUAGUCCUUUACUUAAGCUAAAAGCCGAUCUAGAGUUUGUAUGGGGAAGAGAGCAACAAUUAGCGUUGGACGAAAUCAAGAAUUAUUUGAAAAAUCCUCCAGUUCUAAUUCUACCUCAGCAAGGAAAGCCGUUCAAAUUAUAUUUGUCUACCGAUGGGAUGGUCAUCGGCUCGGCUUUGAUUCAAGAAUUUGAAGGGAAGGAGCGUGUGAUUUAUUAUUUAAGUAUAAGACUGAUACAUGCUGAGACCAGGUAUUCGGCAAUUGGAAAGUUAUGUUUAUGCUUGUACUUUUCAUGUGUUAAGUUGAGACAUUAUUUCCUAUCGGCCGAAUGCACUAUUAUAUGUAAAGAUGAUGUAGUGUGAUACAUGCUAUCUAUGCCGAUCAUGAGUGGUAGAAUCGGUAAAUGGAUUUUGGCACUGUCGGAAUUUGAUCUACGUUACGAAUCGGCUAAGGCAGUUAAAGGGCAGAUUAUGGCCGAUUUUGUGACUCAGCAUUGUGGUGUAGUGGGGACUUUGGAAAUUGUUCCUUGGACGCUCUUCUUUGAUGGAUCUACGUGUGACCGGGUGGUAGGAAUCAGUAUAAUAUUAAUUUCUCCUCAGGGAAAGAAGUAUGAGUUCUCUUUGCCGAUUGUUGCUACGUCAACAAAUAAUCAAGCUGAAUAUCAAGCUUUGAUCAAAGGGUUGGAAUUGUUAAAAGAAGUUCAUGCUGAUGCUGUUGAAAUCUUCGGUGAUUCUAUGCUUGUUAUAAAUCAAUUGGCUGGAAUUUAUGAAUGCCGGAGCGAGGUCUUGAUAAACUAUUAUGAAAAAGGUAUGCAACUAUUGAAGGAAUUCAAGGAUUUCCGAUUAGAGCAUGUUCCUCGAUUACAUAAUGAGGAGGCUAAUCGGUUGGCUCAGCAUGCCUUGGGAUAUCAACCCAUAUUAAACACGUUAUCUGCAAUUAGUGCCAAUGAUUGGAGAAAGGAGAUCAUUGAUUAUUUGAAAGAUCCAUCUAAAAAGGUUGAGAGGUGCAUCAGGUUUCAAGCUACUAAAUAUGUACUCCUUGGAGAAGAGUUAUAUUAUCGAACAAUAGAUGGAGUUCUACUUAGGUGCUUGAAUAAUGAUGAAGCUAAAAGUUUGAUGGGUGAGAUCCAUGAGGGAGUAUGUGGAGCACAUCAGUCGGCUUUUAAGAUGAAAUGGAUGAUUAGAAGAAACGGAUACUAUUGGCCAACUAUACUCGAGGAUUGCUUUAAAUAUUUCAAAGGAUGUCAAGGAUGUCAGAAAUUUGGCAUUAUUCAAAGGGCACCUGCAUCGGCCAUGAAUCCCAUUAUUAAGCCUAGGCCGUUCUGGGGAUGGGCUAUUGAUCUAAUCAGCCAGAUUUACCCACCAUCAAGCAAAGGGCAUAAGUUCAUCUUAGUUGCCACCGAUUAUUUUACCAAGUGGGUUGAAGCUAUUCCUUUGAAGAAAGUAACAUCGGCUAACAUGAUUAAUUUUGUGAAAGAGCAUAUUGUUUACCGAUUUGGUAUUCCUCAAACAAUCACUACCGAUCAGGGUACUAUGUUCACAUCAGGAGAGUUUGAUGAAUUUGCAAUCAGUAUGGGGAUUAAAUGUUAAAUUCUUCCCCUUAUUAUGCUCAAGCCAAUGGGCAGGCUGAAGCAUCUAACAAAGAAAUUAUUAAGCUCAUCAAACAAAAGAUUGAAGAAAAUCCUAGGAGGUGGCAUACAUUGUUGAGUGAAGCUUUAUGGUCAUAUCGGAUGGCAUGUUAUGGGUCGACCAAAGUUUCACCUUAUCAGUUGGUGUAUGGACACGAUGCAGUGCUACCAUGGGAAAUUAAGACUAGAUCUAGGCGACUAUCUUUUUAAGACCAGUUGGUUGCCGAUGACUAUGCUACUUUGAUGAAAGAUGAGUUAGACGAUUUAGCAGGGCAUCGGCUGGGGGCUUUGAUAAGUAUACAUGAAAAUAAAAAGAGAGUUGCUAGAUGGUAUGAUAAAAGGGUAAAAGCUAAGGAGUUUGCUGAUGGAGAUUUGGUAUGGAAAUUAAUUUUACCGAUUGGGACUAAAAGUUCAAAGUUUGGAAAGUGGUCUCCUAAUUGGGAAGGUCCUUAUCGGAUAAAUCGGUCUGCUCCUGGUAAUGCUUAUAUUUUAGAAACUCUCGAAGGAGUUGAAUUUCCCAGAGCAUUGAAUGGAAAGUAUUUAAAGAAGUAUUACCCAAGUAUUUGGGUCGAUGCAUAACACUUUAAGUGCCGAUAACAUUCCUAUCGGCUAGAUAGAAUGUAUCUAGGGCUCUGCAUAGUGUUUCAGAAGGUGCCGAUAACAGUCCUAUCGGCUAGACUGAAGUGAUUAGAGGUUUCUAAGGGCGAGACAAAAAGCUCAUACAUUCAGCAAGGCUUGGAUGGCCUAUAUGGCGCGCAGACGGAUUGGAUCGGCUUCUUCUAUCUCCCAGAUGUCUUCAUUGGCAGAGCCCUCCACUGGCUUCAACUUCUUCAUCUGCAGCGCCUUGUGGGCCUGAAUGUUUCGUUCUUGUUGGAGGGUCUUGAUCAUUUCGGGUAGCUAACUUUCUUCUUGCUGAGCUUGAGAGAGAGCCUCUUCUACCUGCUUGAGCUCUGCCAGCAGGGCUUCCCUUUUUGCUGAUAGGUCGGAGAUCUUGUGCCUCAGUGUCUCCCCUGAGGAUUGUAGAAUGCUGAUGCUCUUGUGUUUCUCAUCGGCAAGGUGUUUCACUUGCAUUACUUCCUCUGAGAGCUGGGUAUGGGUGGCUCUAUCGGCAAGACGCUGGGUAGCCUUUUGAUACUGGAGCUGGCGGCUUUCCAAGUGUGCAGCUUGGAAAAGAAUUUCCUCGGCAUCGGCUGGGAUUUGACCCCUAAGAGCUUUGAACAGAGCUUUGGCUGGAUCAGAGUCAUCGACCAAUUGCGCAGUGUCUUGGUGUAGCAGGGCUAGCAGAUCCUCCAGUUUUGCUCUGAUUUGUGCCGAUGAAAUCCCUAUUGCCUGAGAGGAGCUUGCUUCCUCGCCCUCAUCAUCAGAAAUCUCGAUGGCGAAGGAAAAUAAGCUAUCCGGAGAGUCUUGUUCCUGGAGAAAAAUAAGAUAAGUUAAUUGAUGAUCAGACAUUAGUGAUAUAAAAAGUGGAAAUCAGAUAACUUGUUUCAAAGCUAUUUCGCGCCUCUGGCUUGUUGAUGCCACCGGUACCACAGGUUGAUCGGCUGGAGUUGCCGAUGGAACAAUGUCAACUGAAAAGAUAAUAAGGUUGCUUAUAAUUUGAAGAGAUAAAUCCAUCGGUGAUAAUGUUGUGGGCAGUAAUUUACCUUGAGGGGGUACAGUGCUUGUCUAUUCUGAAGAAACCACAGAUGGUAUGAUUGGAUCUACCGGAUCGGCAGUCUGCUCAAGCACAUCGGCUGAUGUUUCCUAUGGCUGAGGUGCUUCUUGUGGUUGAGGUGGAGACGGUGCUUGCUGAGUCUGGCUUCUGGUGAAGAAGGGGACGAUUCCACAGGAAUCGGUGACACUGGGUGAGGAAGAGAAGGCGCUGGUGACUUCUGACGUUUUGCUUGUGACUUGGUGCUCUUGGGGCCUUUUCUCUUGACUUGGCUGGAUUGGGGGGCAUCGGCACUUGUCUUGAUACUUCUGGUCUUUGCCGAUUUGCCAGUUUGCUGAUACGACAACAAAAGUUUUAUAAGUACAAAUGUAACAAAAUGCUAAUGAGAAUUUUUGCUAAAACAUAGAAGUUACCGAUGAAGUUCCCAUAGCAGCCGAUGUAUCCUGAAAAGAAUGUGUAAGUAUAGAAUGGAAUUGGUAUAAAUUGAAGAAAUCAAAGAUUUACCUUGAAAGCUUGUGCCAAGGUAGCAGCAGCGACCGAUGGAGAUGUCUUUGCUCGUCUGGUGGUGAUCUUUUGAAACGCACGUUCCGGUGCAUUAGAGCUGCCAGGCUUGGUGCAUUGUUGCCGAUUAGAGAAAUCGGGCCUGAUGGAAGGAGCUCGAUCGGCUUAUCACUCCUGCUAAUAGUUGGUGGUGUGUCGUCAAACUGUUAACAAAGGGGAUCCUAUUUGUCUCUACAUUUAUCAAAUCGGUAGGAUCUGGGUUUCUCAAUUGACCAAAACACUGAACAUGGGGUUGAUCAGUGGGGAUCACAAUCUUAUCGGCCAGUUCCUAAAAGGUUUGAAGAUUGAAAGAACAGAAAAGAAAAAAAAGCAUACUCAGUAAAUAGAUUCGCAAAGGAAUAGGAAUACAACAAGAGUUUGGUAAAAGGAGGAGAGGGAGUUUUGAGUUGACCUCCGAGACGACGAAGUUGAUGGCCAUUUCUUCCCAAGAAGAGGAAAGAAUCGAAGACUCGGAAGAUUGUUGGAGGAGGUCCUUGUCGGAGUUCUUGAAGUUCUCGAAUGGUGCCACCACCAAGAAGGUGGGUUUGAGGCUAUAGAAUGACAGGAUGGGAGAAGAGUACCGGAGAAGGAAGUAUUUAUAGAACAAAAUGGGCAGGGGCAAAUCUGACUUAUAUUUUUGCCACAUCAGUGAAAUCCGAGGGUGUUCAGGUGAAUAUGGUAACUGUUCGCACGAUAAUCAAGAGAUUGCGUAGGUGAUUUGACAGCAAGCGGUCAUGAUUUUGGAGAUAUCUUACUGUGCAGGAUCUCCUGGUCGGUUCAUCAGCCGUCUUCUCUAACGGAAAUGUUGCCGAUGAACGUAUUCUGGGGAGAUUCGGUUCGAGAAGUUGAGAGAUUCGAGGAGCAUGCAGGAGAACCAAGCUGAGGUUGUUUGGAUUUGGUGAUUAAUUACCGACCAGAAGGAGUAAUUGCAGAAAGGUAUCAUUACUGAGAAGAAUUUCGGAGCAUUAAUGAUUUUAUACUCCAAAAUUGGGGGGCAUGUGUUGACACCGUUUCUAGACACGUAUCCUUGGACGCGUAUCUAGAGUUAAUGAACCAUAGAUCGGCAGGCUGGAAAGUGGUGGCUGGUCUACAGGAGGGUUGCCGAUGAGGGUUGGUGCCGAUGGAAGAAAGACAAGAUAUGGCUAAGUCCAGGAGUGGUGAGGGAAUCAUGCCGAUGACUAGUAUUGAUGGUUGUCGAUGGCUGUGAAAGGUGGUCUGCCGAUGGUUAUGAAGAAAAGCGCGGGGGUUGCCGAUUGACUCAUGAUGAUGUACCGAUCGGUUGUGGAGGAUAAUUUAAUGCUUUCCAUAGUUAUUAGAGUUUGUUUUGUAUACGGAUUUUGUUUAAUAUGGAGUUCAAGUCCUAGUCAUGUCUGAUUGUAGCUCUUUUGAACAGGGUAUAAAUAUAGACCUCGUGGCAAUGUAAUGAAUAUAUAUCAAUCAAUCAAACACAAGUUUUUACACAUAUUCUAGCAUCUACUUUUUGAUGACUUUGUCAUAUUUUCUUUUUACUACGAGUUCUUAAGGAUUCUUCGAGUCAAUCUCAACGAAUUCUCGAGUUCCGCGUGAGCACCUCUUGGCCGUGACAUCCGGACGCAUCGCUGUUGUCGGGACCAAAGUGUUCGAGUUAUCACCUUUGUCGGUUGUAAGGUCAAAUCGGCUGGCACGCCUUAACGUUUGAAUCGAGUAUUAGCCCUUUGUGUUUGCAGAUCAGCUUUUGCAUCAACACACUUGCUAAGAUCCCAUAUGUUGCUCAGGUGGACAUAAGUUCCCUUGAAGUUACCCUCAAACACCCUGACCAGGUCGGACUAGUCGUGGAUUUGGUUAGGGGGAAGCUCCUCGAGCCAUCUGCGAGCAGUGUCGGAGAGGAAAAGAGGCAGUUAUCGGAUGAUGGCGCGGUCUUCUCUUCGAGCUCCGCCUAGUUGGCAUGCCAACCGAAAGUCCGCUAGACAUAGCUCUAGCAUAGUCUCAUCAUUGUACUUGGCGAUGCUCGUCGGAGGUCCAAUGGGGUUGGGCAGCGAUGUGCUGCGGAUGGCCCUGCUGAAAACUUGAGGCUGUUGACGGUCGAUAACGUCAACUUUUAUUAGAACUUUAAACCCGAAGGAGAUAUGAAUACACACUAAUGUAGGGUUUAAACUAAAAAUUUCCAUGAGUUUUGCAUAUUCUGUAUUUUAUAAAGAGAAUUUUAGGAAAGCUGAAAAGAGGGAUUCUAGUGCAAAAUGAACACGAAAUUUAUCCACCACAAGAAACAUCACGGGAAAACUCAGGAAGGAUCGAGAAGAUACCCGUAGCAACGGGGGGCCUGGCGGUUGCCAGGUGGGGUCGGCCGACCCCACCCUAGCGCCGGUCGGCACCCCCCUUUAGGGUUUCGCCCCCCUCUUCUAGAAGCUUCCUCCACCGCCUCUCUUGAUGAAUCUCGGCCCUUGGUUAAGUCUAUUUGAUCGUACAACGCAUGUGCACUCCAUUAGGCUAUAAAUAGAGGGGUAGACCCCCUCCGAAGGACACCCCAUAUUAAAUUCAUUUAUCCUGCUUCAUUUGUCAAGAGUGGCCAUAAUUUAGGGUUUCUAGAGAUUAGAAGUAGAGCUCUAGUUGUUCAAGUUCUUAGUAUAGGCUUCCAGCAAGGUUCAAGUAGAGAUCGGGCGCUCUGCUCGGGAUUCCAGAUCUGUCUUCUAGAAAUUUGUAAUAUUAUCUUGUAUUUCAUUAUGACUUUGCUCUACUUUAAUAUAUUGCUAUUUAUUUAGUUCUUAGUCUAUUCUAGUUUCAUAUUUGAUAUAGAUGUGGUUUAUGAUGAUUAUCAUUAUAUGAUCGUAAAGCGCCUGAUUCAAUACUCGAGUGAGUUAGGUGUUGCACAUUAUGUAGACAUGGUGUCUAGAUAUAUUGUGUACCUAUGGAGGCACCCUGAUGUGCCGGGUCGUGUGGUAGUCCAUGUAGGUGACAGGUGCAUUGGUUCCUCUAUAGUCCACCCCCUGUACGUAGGACAAGACUAGCACGGUCGCAAAGGAGGUGACCCUUGUUUCUUAAUAUCCUCAUUAGUGGAUGCUCCUUAUGAUGUUUUCUGAGUUUAUCAUACUAUUGAUGAAAAUGUGUAGCAUGGCGUAGGCUAUAGACUUUAUAUUAGUAAUUACAUAGGUUUCCUUUACUUUUACUAAAUUUCAAGAUUGCCUUGCUACAUUAGUGAGUCUUUAUUUUCUACCUCUGGAAUAUCAUUUACUUCGUUACUCAAUUACCAUUUAUCAUUUAUCAAUAUUGGUGACUAGUUAUCGCUAAAGCAUUAGUAGUAUUGGUUGAGAUAGAUUUGCAUAAGUUAUUUAGUCCUUAUAAGAUUACCUAAGCCUAAUGAAUAGAAUGCUGCUUUAUCCUUUUGGCAUAAAAUAAAUCAAUGAUACUCGGAUUACUUCCUGGGUGAAAUGCUACAACGGGAGAUUUAUCUGUGCACUUGCGGAUAUAUUUUAUUUAGAGUCAUUACAUGUAGAUUAUUGUUAUCCUUGGUUUUUGGCAUCAUGUUAGGGGUGACAACUUAAUAUGAAGUGAUGUUAAAAAUACCAACAGAGGCCCCGGUGGCUCAGGAGCCCUCCAAUCCUCAUCACUGUCGUAGCGCCCACCACGGUGUGCGUUGUAGCCUCGCUCCUUGGUGCCUCCUUGCUUUCGUUGGCGGUGUUCGUUGAUGUCAUGUCGUCCGUCUCACGGGUCCCGAUUGUCGACAAUGUGUUCCUAGAUUGGUGCAGCCUUCUUGCCUCGAGGUGGGGCCUCCUGAUGGACGGAAACUUCCCUCUCAUGUCGGUCUGGCUCGGUGUGCUUUUCUGUGGCCGCCCCUCGAUGUCAGGAGGCUGAGCUUUCAGCCUGUUGGGCUGCGGCAACGUGGAGUAAGCCCUAGACCUCAUCCCAAAUGCGGCAUGCUUGCGAAUUCGAGGGCUUGAGCAUAUUACGCAACAGCAUGGUUGCCGCCACUAUGUUCUGUCCUGCUCGAGGGAAGUGGUUGAUGAGUCACUUUGGUUCUCCGUCCUCGACGAUCUGUCGAUAGACGUCUCGAGCGCAACCUCGAGCCCCUCCGCCUUGUGCUUGGUCUUGCUCGAGAGCGCGUUCCAGCUAGUUCAGUCGAUCUCGAUCUUCGUCGAGCUUGGCCUUUAGCUCACGCAGUUGGGCGAGCUGCGUAGCCUUGUCAUCUUGAGGAGAUGGUAGGUCUAGUUGCCCUUCCUGCCUAGGAGUCCUGGGGUUCCCUCCUACUACUAGAGCAGAGGCAGCGGCACCAGCAUUGCCAUCAUCCAUGGUGUCGUCAUCUGUGGCCACAACCCCGUCUACGAUGUUAAAGCAUUGCCUCGUGGGAUCAUAGUUGUCGUACUCAGAGUCGGGAUUCUCCGCCUGCUACUGUCUCAAUGUAGUGAGCGUGUACCGUCCUGGUCCAAGAGCUCGGGGCCUACAUAUUUGUGGAAAGCCUGAGCUUCCAUCUAUUGACAGGGUCUCCCUCAGCACUGUUACGCCACGUGGGUGGGUUGGUGAUUGCUCCACGUGCACAUUGGCAUUGGGAUGGAUUGUCAUGGCAAGGGAUGUCGUGGCGUUGUCGAGGUCGAAUGGGAGCAAGCGCUUGGUGGCAAUCAGCCCAUGUGGUAGCAGGAUGGAAGGCAGUGAAAUCGCGUGGGGGAUGUCCUCCUUUGGUGCCGCCGAGUUGCGAUCGCCCCUAAGGCUAUCUGGCUUGGUUGCUACCCUAGAGCGUAGACUGGACGGACCCUCAACCAGAGGGCUUGGCUGAUCCGCUUGGAGCGGCGAUCGCGUGGUAGGCACGGGACGAUGGUGACGGUGCUAACUGUGUCUCCUCUGGAGCGGGGAGGCAUGAUGGUGAGGUCGACGCGUGGCCCUCGAUCGUGAGGGCACAAUGAAGGCUCCAUCCAGUCCUUUGACAGAGAGCAGGAUCAUGUCGUAGCCAAAGCCGGUGGACAUGAAGUCGAGACUCCCAAAACAGAUCACCAUGGAGCGUGGAAUCGGUGAAACAGAGGUGGCCAUCCAAAAAAAGAUGAAGUAAACACGCAGGACCCCUACCUGGCGUGCCAACUGUCGGUGUUUUAACCCCUUGGGGUAGCACCAACGAGUGAAUUUGUGUGCGUAUAUUCCUUUCCGGAUGGUGAUGCAAGAUGAACACGAGGAUUUAUCCUGGUUUGGGCAAGUGAAGGCCCUACGUCCAGUGAGGGGGCGAGGAUUUGUAUUAUCUUGCACUUAAGUGCUUGUAUAGCGGUAAAUACAAGAGAGUGUGGAUGUGGAUUCUAAGUCCUAACUAUAUGAAGGUAGGACUAUGAGAGGUGGUGCAUGCGAGUGUGGUGUUAUAUGUAUUGUGUUGUCUUGUGUAUUGCUCAGCCUUGGUGUCCCCUUUUAUAGAUAAAGGGGAGGCCCAAGGUUACAGUAUGUAGGUGCUAGAGUAGGCUUCGAUAGGGGUAUGGCGCGAGUCAACUCGAGGCUUUCAUACCGGCGUGGCCUCAACCGGUCUUGUUGUAGUGUACUUGGCGAUGAUGGUGCGUGCACCUCGUGGGCUCACCCUCUGUAUAUCGCUUGGUAUUGGUCCACAAAUACGCACGCCUGUACAUCUUGGCAGUCAUCAUGUCGGGAGUGGUUUGAGCGCUGACUUCUGUCGCUCAACCCUUCUCUAGAAAGGAAGAGACGACUUCAAGGGCCUCAUGGUUUAGGCGGCGUCCGUAUGCGAGAGCGUGGACCAUUACCCCUCCAAGGGCUUCUGAGGAGACGCCACGCCUGCUGCAACAGUAUGAUCAUGUACCUUUCUCUGAAUUUGGAGAUAAAGCUGAUAAAAAGUGGGAUUUAACGGGUGUUGAUAUUUGGGAACGCAAUAAGGAAUUGAUCCACAAGCGCACGGAUAUCGGUGAGCACUUCACCCGGGAGGUUAUCCAGAGUAUCAUAUUUAUUUUUUUACCACUAGGAGAAAGAGUGCAUCUGACUAACCCGGUCUAUUACUACUAACCCUUUAGGCAACAAAGAAUGUUUCUCGAUGUGAGUGAUAAAUAGAGAAGACUGCAACCGUAGUCUCCUUCUAACCCUGGUAAGGAUGAUCUACUGUUCUAUUGGGGAGGCUAACGGAAUCUAGACACCACAAAGGAUGUUCAACCCGCACCUAUAAACCCUAUCCUUCCUGCUAACGAGAUAUGGUCUACAAAGGUAACUCGGAAUUGUCACGUUCCUCACUACUACCACGGUCUAGCUAGUCAGGGAAUAUCUAUGAGUACCCCAGCCUAAACACCACAUUUACGCCAGCAAUGAUUACUCUAAACUCUACGCGAAGAGAUUAAAGUAAACUCAUAAACCAUAAGAACAAUAAAACAAGAACUUACUAGAAUUUAGAAGUCAAAAUACUGAAGAAUCCUAGGAGCAAGCCUCGGGUUAGGAGAACUUGAUCCUGCAGGUACAAGCUCGGAGUAGACACCGACAGGCCGGGCUUCCUCCAAUCUACACCUCCACUCUAUCUCUCUCAAUCUAGUAGAAACUAGAAUAUCUAUUUCUACUUUACAUUGGUUGCUAAGCCUAAAAAGAAAUUUUAUUUAGAGAAGAGGUUUUCCUUCGAGGGCACCCCUCAACUCUAUGAUAACUUCUUGUCUUCUCCAGGGGCCAGGGGGUCUCCUUAUAUAGUCCUCCUCCUCUAUGCGUUUUUGGGUCGGUAGGCGAUGUGGUACUACGUUAUCCUUGAUCCAUUAGGUCGGUGGAACAUCGUGUGCGAAGAGAGUCCCGAACGGAGUACAGGAGGGGGCGGGCGCCCAGGUCCUCAAGGCGGGCGCCCUGGGCCUGGCCCUUUUCGGCCUCUGCUUUCUUCCCGUGGCUUCUAGAGUCUUCUAGAUGGUAGAAAAUCGCGCGGUGCGUUGAUAUCUCUAUGUAAUCCCGACAUGUGGGCCUUUCUUCCUUAUUUCCUGAUAACCCCCCUGCAGAAACAGAUAAACAACAAAACUCGUGGAAUUCUGUCAGAUCAAACCCUAAUUCUAGGUGUUGGUUGCAUAUUGGUCCUUUCUCUUAUUUAUCUGAUAAUUAAAAUUGAUACUUAAGAACCGUCAACAAAUACCCCCAUACUUAGGCUUUUACUCGUCCUCGAGAAAAGGAUGGUUAAGAAUAAUAUCUGGGGUAAAACAUUUUAAAACAUUCUUUUCAUAACUGCAGGGUAUUAAAAUUCCACUGUGUACUAUAGUCAGGGAAGUAUAUAGUUAAGAGUAAAGAUCCUUUCUUCUCAAUCCUGUCACUUGGAGUUUUUGUAUAUUUUUGAAAGAAAGUUAGCAUACCUUUUUAUCCUCAUAGGUUCUCUCAGAUCACUCAUUAUCUUUUAUAUAUCUCACUGAGGUUGUUUUAAUUUACAAAAAUUCUCAAGCAUACUUUGUAUUUAUUGCCUGAUCAAAACGGGAUCCGAGGAGGGGAAUGUCAUACUCUUAGAUCAAAGACUUUGGAAAUUAAAAUCUUUGUCAACUCUUGCUGGCAUAUUGCUUAUUAGAGGGACCAUGGGCUAUCACUUUCUUUUUAUUCUUUUCUUCUUUUUUUAAGUGGAUACUGAGGUACCCCUAAUUCUACUGCCGGACACUUGUCCAUUUUUUUCUACGAGGUUGUUGAGCACUUGCUCCUUUUUAUUUCCUCAAAAUAUCUUUAUUUUUGCAUAGCCCAUGCCUCUAAUGCAAUAAUACUUCGGAAGAGUGAAUCUUUCUGAAUAAAUGUCUUGAUCUUAGGAGCAUGAUAAAUCUCUCAACAAGGGUCUAACUCAUUUUGAACAAACUCAAUACAGAGUAGAUAGCUUUUAUAAUCAUAAUUAAAUUUUUCAGUUUUAUCAGGCAUAUAAAACACUGAGGAUGGUAGCUAGAAUUUUGAAGAUUUUGAAAUAAAUUCUCCAAGCAACAAUGAUAUCAAGAAUAAGAAACUCAUACUCUACCAUCUCAAAUUCCAUAUUGACUUAAGUAACACAGGGUUUUAAAAUGAUUUUCAAUAAUUGCAAGUUUCAGGAAAUAUCACAGAGUGAGAUUAAUCAUGAUUAGAAACAUUUUAAUCUUUAUCAUGUCGGAAACAAUAUUCUGCAUAAUCCAAGAUAUGUGUAUGUGUAAAGUAAAAUGUGCAGAGUGUGUACCUGAAUCGUGGAGUGGUGUAGUUGAAGUGUGUUUGGCAUGUUGAGGGAUCUCCCCCAUACUUGUUUUCUGCUUUCUUGCACAAAAAUAAAGUAGAGACACACAAAACAUAAUAAUAAUAAUAAUACUCUUUAUUAAUCUUGAGGCAUUUAUUCCAAAUGACUAGUAGCAAACUGACAAUAAUAGUAAACCUAAACCGAAUUUAAAGAUAAAUAACUUAGAUGCAUUUGCCUCAAGGUCUAAUCUAGAUAACUUGGCGGCGCUCUAAUUCUUUAAUCUUCUUAUUGGCACUGGCAAGAUCCUGCCUAAGGCCUAGUAUAACAGUGUUGUGGUUAGAGAGCUGCCUAGUGAGGGAAUUAACUGAGGACUGGAGGUCUAUGAUAACUCUGUCUAGCCUGCGAACGUCCUCAUCAAUAUCUACUAUAGUCUUGCGAUGCUUGGGAGGUGUCUCAAAAGUAUUGAGAGCGUGCUUCGGGGCUGCCUUUGGAGGGAUGAAACAGUCUUUGGUUGCUCUAAUCCCUUCGAAGUAAGGCCUUUCCUCCUCCGUAGUGUAGCGAAUACUGCUGAUCUCGUCGCUCCGGUUGGUCUUGACUCCAACGACCCUCUCAUUUGGUCUAGGUGGAAGGAUCCUUGUGCCAGUUGGCACCUUGAUGGUGGUCUUCGUCUUAGAUGAUGAUCCCUUGAGGAGUAGGGGUUGUGGCGGUGCGGUGAGAACUGGUUGAGCAUGGUAGGAUUGGGCGGAGCUGCGUUGGUGUAAUGGCAUAGCUUCUAGCUAUCGCUCUGUGUUGGCCGGGACGAGAGCACGGGCGUCGGGGUCUUCCACAGGCUCCAUGUUGAGGUUGAAGGGGAUGACUUCCCAAUCAUCGUGGAACUUCUCAGCCAUUGGAGCAGCGAGGAACUAAUCAAGCUCUAAUUGAAGAAGAAGAGAAGGUUUGGUCGUUUGGUGUUUGAAAACUGAUGUCAGGGGUCUGUUUAUAUAGGGGUCAAAAAGUGCCUCUAGGGGUUGUUCGGGUUGCUCCCGUCGAUGUGCGUGCGAAACUUUCCAUCUGAGGGAUUAUUCGGACUAGCAUAAGUGCAUUUUCCAUAACAGAGAAAAUCGGGACUGAGGGGGAACAGGAGCUGGGCGCCCGCCCUCUUGAUCUAGGCGCCCGCCCUCUCUUUGUCUCCUCUUUGGAUCCGCUUCCUCGAGCGUGUUUCUAAAUGCAAAACUAUUUAGGCAAAUAUAUGUAUGACCCAAAAACGUCACAUUAAAAAGGUCGGGCUCUAAUUCUCCAUGGGAAGGAAAAAAAUGGACUACAUCUAUUUCUUCUAAUUCUUUAUUUGGUUCUAAAAUAAUUUAAGACGUUGACCAUUUACCUUGAAUAACGUACCUUCGUCAUUUUGAAGUGUGAUAGCUCCGUGGGAUGAUGAAUUAAUUACCUUGAAUAGUCCUUCCCAUUUGCUCCGAAGUUUUCCAUGCCCGAAAAGCUUCACCCUGGAAUUAAAAAGUAAUACCUUAUCUCCGGGUGUGAACUCCUUCUUCUUGAUUCUCUUGUCAUGCCACCUUUUGACUCUUUCUUUGUAGAUCUUCGAAUUGUGAUAUGCUUUCUCUUGCCAUUCUUCUAAUUCUGAUAGUUGCAUUCUUCUAUGAUCUCCAGCAACAUCUAGGUCCAUAUUCCAUCUCUUUAUGGCCUAGUGUGCUUUGAACUCUAGUUCAACAGGUAGAUGGCAAGUCUUCCCGUACACCAAUUGGUAUCGAGACAUUCCAAUUGGGGUCUUGUAUGCUGUCCGGUAUGCCCAUAGUGCAUCGGGUAGCUUGUCUUUCCACGCCGUUCCCAUUUCAUUUACUGUCUUCUGAAGAAUAUUCUUGAUUUGCUUGUUGGAAGUCUUUGCUUGGCCACUUGUCUGAGGAUGAUAGGGAGUAGCGACGUUGUGACGGAUUCCAUGUUUUGAUAGAUAUUGCUUGAAGCGUUUAUCGAUGAAGUGUGCUCCUCCAUCACUUAACACUAGUCUAGGGAAUCCAAAUCUUGGAAAUAUAUUUUCUUCAAAUAUCCUCUUCGAACUGAUGUUGUCGGCAUGCUUGCAAGGUAAUGCCUCUACCCACUUGGAGACAUAGUCAACUACCACCAAGAUGUACUCACACUUCUUUGAUGGAGGAAAUGGACCCAUGUAGUCUAUUCCUCAGACAUCAAAGAGCUCGAUCUGAAGGUUCUUGGUGAGUGGCAUUGCAUCCCUUGUAUUUAUGUUCCCGUGCCUUUGACAUGGCCCACAUCUUCUGAUAUAUUGCUUCGUGUCUUCAUACAUUGUAGGCCAGUAGAAUCCACACUGCCAGAUCUUUGAAUGUGUACGGAAUGCUCCAUAGUGACCUCCAUAUGGUGAUGAAUGGCAUCUGUCGAUGAUCUUCCAUCCUUCCUCAGUGGUCACACAUCUCCUGAGUAAGCCAUCAGAGCAUACUCGGAAGAGGUAUGGCUCAUCCCAUAUAUGUAAACGACUUUCUUGAUUAAGCUUCUUCUUGUUUGCUCCUGGUGGUACAUACCCUGAAACCAUAAAAUUAACAAUAUCUGCAUACAAGGGGUCAGACCUGUUAAUCCCGUAGAGCAUGUCGUCCCGGAGUGAAUCAUCGAUGGGGGUUUCCUGUGGACUCUUAAAGUACAUUCUAGACAAGUGAUUAGCAACAAAAAUUUCUACUCCCUUUUUAUCUUUUAUUUCUAAGUCAAAUUCUUUGAGUAAUAAGAUCCAUCUAAUAAGGCGAGGUUUAGCAUCUUUUUUAGUGAGCAAAUAUUUUAGUGCAGCAUGAUCAGUGUAAACAAUUAUUUUAGCUCCAACUAAAUAAGAUCUAAAUUUAUCAAUGGCAAAGACAACAGACAGAAGCUCUUUUUCAGUGGUUGCAUAAUUAAGUUGAGCUCCUGUCAAAGUUUUACUAGCAUAAGCAAUUGCAUGAUGCUUCUUAUUUUUAGUUUGUCCAAAAACUGCCCCCACAGCAUAAUCACUGGCAUCACACAUAAUUUCAAAAGGCAACGACCAAUCAGGGGGUUGAAUCAUUGGUGCAGAGAUGAGUGCUUUCUUUAAUAAAUUAAAAGAUGUUAGACAUGCAUCAUCAAAUUCGAAAGGAGCAUCCUUGGCUAGCAAAAGAGUAAGUGGUCUAGCAAUAAAUGAAAAAUCUUUUAUGAAUCUACGAUAAAAACUAGCAUGUCCAAGAAAGCUUCGAAUUCCUUUUAUAUUCACAUGUGGAGGUAGUUGUUCAAUUACUUCAAUUUUAGCUUCAUCUACCUCAAUACCUCUUUCAGACACUAAGUGUCCCAGCACUAUUCCUUCCCUAACCAUGAAAUGACAUUUUUCCCAAUUAAGGACUAAGUGCUUUUCUUCACAUCUUUGCAAAACCUUGUCUAAGUUUCCAAUACAACUAUCAAAAGUUUUUCCAUAAAUAGAGAAAUCAUCCAUGAAAACUUCCAUAAUCUCUUCAAUCAUAUCAGAAAAUAUAGACAUCAUGCAUCUUUGAAAAGAAGCUGGUGCAUUACAUAACCCAAAAGACAUUCUACGGUAAGCAUAAGUUCCAUAUGGGCAUGUAAAAGUGGUUUUGCUUUGAUCAUCGGGAUGGAUCAGGACCUGAUGAUACCCUGAAUAUCCAUCUAAGAAACAGAAGAACGAAUGGUUUGCUAACUGCUCUAGCAUCUCAUAUAUGAAAGGUAAAGGAAAGUGAUCCUUUCUCGUGGCUUUGUUUAGUUUUCUAUAGUCUAUGCACAUCCGCCAUCCUGUGACGGUGCGUUGUGGAAUUAGCUCGUUCUUUUCAUUCAUAAUAAUAGUCAUGCCUCCCUUUUUAGGCACAACUUGAACUGGGCUUACCCACUCACUGUGCGGCACAAGAUAUAUAAUCCCUGCAUGCAGCAACUUUAUAACUUCCUUUUUAACUACCUCUCUCAUAGUGUUAUUAAGUCUACGUUGGGGUUCUCGAGAAGGUGAAACAGAAGGAUCUGUUGGAAUACGAUGGGUACAAAUCAUAGGACUGAUUCCUGUAAGAUCUUGUAGUGAGUAGCCGAAAACUGAGUGAUGUUUCUCAAGAAUGGUCAUCAAUCACAGAGUUUGCUCCUGAGUGAGUUUAUCACUAAUGAUCACAGGAAGCUCUGGAUUAUUGUUUAGGAAAGCAUUGAUAAGACCGGGUGGUAAAGUUUUAAGCUCUAUGGGGGGUCUAGGUGUUUCUGCAAACUCAUCUAAGGGUUCAGGUUCAGAAGGUUCGACUUCUUCUUCUAUGAAGAAAGGAGUUUCAACUUCUAAGUCUGAUUCUUCUAAAAGUUCAAGAGAUGCAGCCUUUACCUCCUCCAUAGGAUCAGGCAAAAGAUAUGACUCGGCCAUAUUAUUUAAGGAGUGUGAAAUUGUUAUUGGGAAUUUAAAGGCUUUUCCAAAAGAAAUGUGUAGCUUUCCAGUAUGACCUCAUAAAGGAGUCUUCUAAAAGGUUGUCCUAUCAAUAGGUCGAAGUCCCAUGUAUCAAAGAUAUAGAAGUUCAAAUGAACCAUGGAGCCUUCUACAGUAAGAGGUAGGGCAUUAAUAAUUCCAAGACUGGGGACUAAUCGUCUCGAAGAUUCCUUUAUGACCUUUGUUGUGGGGGUUAAGGCAAGGUUUUUAAAUAGUUUAAGUGCAAAAGAUUCAGACAUGAUGUUGAUCCCAACAACAGGAUUAUAAAGACCAUUAAGUCGAUCAGAAUUAUAAGCACAACGUAUAGUUAUAGAGGGUGUGUCCAAACGGAUCACAUCAGAGGAAAGCUCUGAUUCCUCCAACCAUUCCUACUCAUGGCUGAGAUAAGCUCUCUCAAUUGAUAUUCACUUGGCAAAUAAAUGCUAAACUAGCCGUUUUGGGGUUUGUCAAUAGAAUGAUAGUUUGAAAUGUUUCCAAAAUCGGCAAAAAGAUCGGAUUCUAUAUCCAGCAUGAAGUCCGGUGGUGGAAUUUCUUCCUCUUGUGGCUCAGAACAUGGGAUAGCUAAUGUAGAUGAAGAAUUUGGCAGAGUGGCUACUUCGGCUUCGUAGGUUUCAUCAUGAAGGGUAUUAUCCAUCUCAGCUUCUAGGAUUCUAUCUAGGAUCACUCUAGCUUCAUCAGUAGGGAUGCGAAAGAAAGAACCUCUAGAUAUUGUGUGUAGCAUUCGUUUGUGAUUUUUCUGAAGACCUCGAAAAAAGUGAAAUAAAAGAACAGGGUCUUCAAGAUUAAGGUUUGGACCAGAUUCUAAAAGAUCAGAAAACGUUUCCAGGAUUUUCCCAAAGUUUCAUUAUCUUUUUGUUUAAAAGAUAGGACUUCGAGUCUAAGGUCGGCUAUACGAUCGAGGGAAUAGAAAUCUAGACAAAAGUUGGCUCGUAAAACUCCCCAUUCACCUCGUUGUUGACUUACCUUCUGACUGUACCAUUGUCUAGCUUCUCCCCUUAAAGAAAAAGGAAAAAGCUUCCAACGUAAAGUUUUAUCAAAAAUGCCUUCAAUGCGAAGACAAUCACAUGUUUGCUCAAAAUCUCUAAUAUGAAGGUAAGGGUUUUUGUCUUCCUUUCUCGAAAAAGAUAGGUUUUGAAUCAUGGCAAUCAACCUAGAACUUAACUUAUACUGGGAUGUUUGGAUAGGCUGUGAUGAUUCCCGUGGUAAAAGGUCAGUUACUGAAGGGAUUGCAGAUUCAUGGAUCGAUUUAGAAUUUUGGUUUUCCAUGAGGUAAGAGUAAAGAAAAUAAAUACAGAAUAUAAAAGAUAAGAAAAGAUAAAAGUAUAGAUACAAGCUAGUAGUAAGACUCAAGGUUAUCUCAGCAAACUGUCUUUCUCCCCAGCAACGGCACCAGAAAUGCUUGUUGAUAUUUGGGAACGCAAUAAGGAAUUGAUCCGCAAGCGCACGGAUAUCGGUGAGCACUUCACCCGGGAGGUUAUCCAGAGUAUCGUAUUUAUUUUUUUACCACUAGGAGAAAGAGUGCAUCUAACUAACCCGGUCUAUUACUACUAACCCUUUAGGCAACAAAAAAUGUUUCUCGAUGUGAGUGAUAAAUAGAGAAGACUGCAACCGUAGUCUCCUUCUAACCUUGGUAAGGAUGAUCUACUGUUCUAUUGGGGAGGCUAACAGAAUCUAGACACCACAAAGGAUGUUCAACCCGCACCUAUAAACCCUAUCCUUCCUGCUAACGAGAUAUGGUUUGCAAAGGUAACUCGGAAUUGUCACGUUCCUCACUACUACCACGGUCUAGCUAGUCAGGGAAUAUCUAUGAGUACCCUAGCCUAAACACCACGUUUACGCCAGCAAUGAUUACUCUAAACUCUAUGCGAAGAGAUUAUAUUAAACUCAUAAACCAUAAGAACAAUAAAACAAGAACUUACUAGAAUUUAGAAGUCGAAAUACUGAAGAAUCCUAGGAGCAAGCCUCGGGUUAGGAGAACUUGAUCCUGCAGGUACAAGCUCGGAGUAGACACCGACAGGCUUGGCUUCCUCCAAUCUACACCUCCACUCUAUCUCUCUCAAUCUAGUAGAAACUAGAAGAUCUAUUUCUACUUUACAUUGGUUGCUAAGCCUAAAAAGAAAUUUUAUUUAGGGAAGAGGUUUUCCUUCGAGGGCACCCCUCAACUCUAUGAUAACUUCUUGUCUUCUCCAGGGGCCAGGGGGUCUCCUUAUAUAGUCCUCCUCCUCUAUGCGUUUUUGGGUCGGUAGGCGAUAUGGUACUACAUUAUCCUUGAUCCAUUAGGUCGGUGGAACAUCGUGUGCGAAGAGAGUCCCGAACGGAGUACCGGAGGGGGUGGGCGCCCAGGUCCUCAGGGCGGGCGCCCUGGGCCUGGCCCUUUUCGGCCUCUGCUAUCUUCCCAUGGCUUCUGGAGUCUUCUAGAUGGUAGAAAAUCCCACGGUGCGUUGAUAUCUCUAUGUAAUCCUGACAUGUGGGCCUUUCUUCCUUAUUUCCUAAUAACCCCCUGCAGAAACAGAUAAACAACAAAACUCGUGGAAUUCUGUCAGAUCAAACCCUAAUUCUAGGUGUUGGUUGCAUAUUGGUCCUUUCUCUUAUUUAUCUGAUAAUUAAAAUUGAUACUUAAGAACCAUCAACAACGGGCGCACGACCCAUCAUCACGGUUGCCGUGCCUAGAGGGUUAGAUGGGAGCUUGUCAGUCACAUUAAAUGCUCUAAAUUCUGUACCUGCAAUAGGCGGCGGGGGCGUGCCUUUGCACUCGAGGCUAGUUGGUUCGCUCGAUGUUGUUUCCAUAAUCGAGGGUUGUCCGGCCUCGAGCUUUUAGGCAUUCUCUCGACCCUGUUUCCAUAACCGAGACCAGGGUCGAUCUGUGUGCGUAUUAUGGGUUGAGUUAUAGUGUCGAUCAGUGCGUAUUUUGUAGGGAGGUGUCGAGUCUAGCUCCAGGGUUAGCCCUUUUUCCUUUUUUGGGGAUAUCUAUUUGGCUACCCCUUAUUGAUAUCCUCGUCAAUAUUUCAUACUUGUUUUGCAUUGAGAUUGUUGACACUGAUUUUGGCAUGUGCUAAGAUAAUCUAAUGGACCAAUCGACAAUAGGGAAAUUAUUGCAUUGUACUAACAGGAAGGUGCCGAUGAAGAUCAGCCAUGGAGGUUGGUGCUGAUGGAAGGUGAUGAUCAGUAGAAGGGUUCUCUUAGCCUGAAUUCAGAAGUAUUGGUUAAUAAGGUCAGAAGAUGGUGUUUGUCGAUUCAAGGGUAAUUGUCGAUAGAGCUUGUGGUGCUGCGUUGCUGAUGCCGAUGAGGGAGGAUAUGAAGACUGCUGCCAGAGGAGCUUGUGGCAUGCCGAUAGAGCAGGAGCUAAUGAGGACUUCAUCGUGAUUGAAAUGGACACAUGAAUAGAUAGAUGUUGUUUUCUUCUUUCUAUAUUUGUUGGAGUAUGCCCUAAUAUAGGAGUCAUGUUUUACCUUAAGAAUUAAAUCCUAGUCGUAUUUGUUUGUAACUCUUUAGACCAGGUUAUAAAUAUAGGCCGAGAGAUAAUGUAAUGAAAAUCAAUCAAUAUCAAAUACAAGUUUACUCCUAUUUUCGAAUCUACUUACUUUUCGACGAUUUCGUCAACUUGCAUAUUUUAUUUUCAUGAGUUCUCAUCGAUUCGGCGAGUUGCACAUUUCAGUGUAAUACUUGACAAUCCUCGAGUUCCGUGUGAGUAUCUUUUGGUCGUGACAUCCGGGCGCAUUGCUGUUCUUAGGACCAAAGUGCUCAAACCAUCAUCCUUAUUGAUCAAUAGGUCAAAUCGACUAGCACGCCUUAACAUUGAAAUCGGGUAUUAGCUCUUUGUGUUUGUAGAGCUACAUUUGCAUCAACACAUCUUUUGGCACGCCCAGUGGGACAAAUCAACGUGGUCAACAUGUUUAGCUCUGAGCUCGAUGCAGACAACAUCAUCGGUGUGACAGAAGUAGAUCUCAAAGAAGAACAGAAGCAAGCUAUAGAAAAGGCUAUGGAGGAUUACAAGAAACUUUGUCUAAAAUCAUUCAGUUUGAACAGGAGUGGAGAAGUCAUCUAGAAACAAGAUCUACCAUUGGCUCGGCAGGUUACUUUUGACUCCAAUCCUAGUAAACUUCAAGAGAUGGUUAAUUCUACAAUUAAUCAUGCUUUAAUUAACCACUCCAAUGUGUUGUCCAACACUAUUUACAAUGGCAUGGUCUGAACUUUCAAAGAAUGACAGGCACCACCACUUUGUGCUGGUCCGGCUUAUCAUCGGCCAAGACUGUCAUUAGUUGUUGCUCCAUCGGCUCCUUCAGCCGUUGCGGGUACAGAAGUCACGUCUCCUCCGAGUAUGGCAGGUGUGCCUAAUGAUCAAUCUACACCGAUGAGAUCAGAUCCAAUGCCUUCAGGAGGGCGAGUUCAACUCAAUACAGACCUAUCGGCAUCAGCUAUGUCAGGUUCUGUCUUCCAAAACAUCCAGGUUCCUCCUAAUUGGUGGGGAUAUGGGAUGCCUCUGGAAUUUUUGGAAAAAUAUUUUGCAUUUUCUCAGGCACUUGAAAUAGCAGGGAAGGCUCCAGUGCCAUCGACUCCUCCAGUUUCACCGAUGACCCAGAUGCCUCAAUAUGCUACGACAACUACUGUGCGGCCAGUAAUAGGGAAUUUUCAGAUACCAUGAUUUCAAUUAUCUAAUGCGAGUUCAUUGGCAAAUUCAUUGCCGAUGCAACAGAGGACCCCUAUUAUGAAUCAGCCUGUAGCAUAGUUCAUGUCUCAAGUAGGAUAUUGUAACCCAGCAAUGACACCAAAUUACCAGCCAUCGGCAAGCUUUGUGCCGAUGAACACUAGGUUAGGACAGUUACCCUUUCAGCAUACAGUACAGCAAAAUCAUCAAGUUUUAGGGGUUCAGCUAGGUCACAUGCAGGUUGGCUUUCAGAAUCAGGCAACGGCAGCUCAGCCGAUGAAUCUUGUUCAGUAGAUUGGUGGACCACAAGCAGUAGCUAAUAUGCCGUUUCCUAGGGAUCGUGUGCCACAAAGACACAUGGAAGCAUAUUAGCAGAUUCCAGAGAUUUAGCCAGUGCAUCGGUAGGAUGCUAAUGCUUAUUGGGCCGAGAAGAUAGCAGAAAUUAUGAGAGAUCAGUUUGGAACAAAGGCCAAAGUUAAUACUUAUUCUUAUCUGACACCAAAUCUGCCUGCAUAUGACUUGAUUCCCCUUCCAAAUCGGUACAAGGUGCCGGAUUUCACUAAGAUUUUAGGGCAAGAUGACACAUCAACAAUGGAACCUGUCAAUCGCUUCAUUAUCCAGUGUGGAGAGGCUGCUAAUAGAGAUGAAUUAAGGGUUCGGUUGUUCUCAUCAUCUUUGUCUGGAUCGGCUUUUCUUGGUUUAUUAAUAUUUUAUUCAAACAUUAUCCAAAUGCCACCAAAGUUUGUGUGAAAUCAGGGAAUAACAUUUAGCUCACAAAUUUUGGUGAUUUUUGGACAUAUUAAUAAUUUCCUAAAAUUCAUUGAAGUUUUAUUUACUAAAUAAAGGAUACAAUUUUUAUACUUGUUCAAAUUAUCAGAAAAUGGAAUUUAACAUUUUUCCUAUGUUCUACCCACUGCAUAGAACAUACCCAAAUAUUUUCACUAUUUUUGGAUCAGCACAUAAUUUUCUAUAUAAAUUCAAACAUAAAACACUUUUAACGUAAAAAGAAAAAGGAAAACACAUUGUGCUAACGCGGCCGGCCCGCCUAACCCCGGCCCAGGCCGGUCCAUGCGUCUCCCGCGUCACGUGCGGGCUCCCUCUCUCAGACACGGUCACUGAUGGGCGGGUCCCGCCUGUCAGUUCCGUCUCCUACAUUGCGUCGUGGCACCGGCGAGCCCAGGCAUGCCGUCGGCGAGCUUCCGGCCUUCGCGGCCGGGCGAGCUAGCAACUCCAGCCCCUAGCACACCCCUGAAGCAUUCAAGCAGCGCUCUACGCUCUACUAUCCCUUUUGGCCGCACUCAUGGCGGACGGUAACGUCGGCCCUGCGAACACCGGACCCUACAGGCAGGCAGAUCAUAAACCAAGGGGCGCACAAAGAUGAGUGGCUCACCGCGACUUCAAAGAGCUAGAUAGCGGUGGUAGAGGUGCUCGGAGGAGGUCUGGCCACGGUGAGGUGCUCACGGUGGUGGUUUCGGCCGGAGUCGGACGAGAACGGCUCGGGUUGGAGCUACGGAUGGUUAGAGCUUGGGGUGAGGGGUUCAGGAGGUAGCUGAGUUCCUGGCGAAGCUGUGGAGGUGCUUUGGGGGCUCGGACAGGGAGUAGGCAAGGUGAAAAGCGAGGUGGCUGCGGUGUGUGGUCACUGGGAGGGGUGGAUGUGCAUGUCAGGGGCUUGUCCACUUCAUGGCGACCUCGAACAGCUAAGCAGCUGCAUGGCCGGGCGCGCACAAAGGCAGCGCCUGCCCGCUCUGCGGCAGCGCUGGACCGGCGCCCGUGAUCCUCAUCGGGACACUAUAGCAAGCCGUAUCCACCUCUUUUUGUUUUUUGCAAAUUACUCCCAAAAUUUGAACUAAAGUCAAAUUUCUGCUAAAACAAAAGUUGUUCAAAAUUUUGAAUACUACAAAACACCUUUAAGGGUCCAGAGCCAAUUUUGAGUGGAAGAGUAUGAAUUUUGACAACACAGUUUGAAAUUCAAAAUCCCAAUUUGGGGGAAUUCCUUUUUGAAUUGGGGCAGAAUAGAAAUUCCAAAGUUACUUUUGAUUUUUGUCAAUAACUUGAAAAAUUCCCAAAAUAAAAGUUGUUCAAUUUGAUGAGCCCUACAACUUUCAUGUUCACUUUUCAAAAUUCCAAAUAGAUUUUAAAUUUGGGAUUCAAAAUGGAAAAGGGGAUAAUUUCUAGAAAUCAGUAUUUUCAAAAUUACUUUGAAUUUUGUAUUGAAACUUCAAAAACUCAAAACACCAAAUUUGUACAUCUUGACAAGAUCUACAACUUUUCUUUUGAACUCAUCCUCAAAUUUUACAUAGUUUUUAAGUCGCACAAAAAGGGGCAAAACUAGGGUCUUAAAAUCAGGGUUUUCUCCUACUUUUCCAUAGAACCUUCCAAUACUGGGGAUUACACAACCACACAGGCAUCAUUUCAUAACAUAAGCAAACUUUAGUUCCCUAAGCACAAGCAACCAAAUUAAACUUGUUUUAAGUUCAUGCAUCAGAAUGUGCUCAACAAAUAUGCUAUGCAAUGCUUAUGAUGACAUGAUCCAGUUUUAGUGUCUGUAACAUCAAGGAUGUUACAGGUAUAAUCGACAAGAUCAAUUCUAGAAUAAUGAUCAGUGUUUUAGUGGAGUGAUCAGAGGGAGAACGUCAGUCCAUGAUUGGCCGGGGGGCAGGCUUAGCGUGCAUGACAGACUUGGUGAACGUGUUGGUCAUUUUCCAAGGAAUCAAGAAGAGCUUGAAGAAAUGGCAAAUGCGUGGGUUCCCGAUGAAUUUAUAUUCUGCAGGGAUGCUAAUAUUCAUCGAGUAGAAUCAAGGGAAGUUAGCUACCAGCCGAUACAGAAGACAAAGCUUCCCCAGUGGUGCCAAGGAGGGUUAACAAGGACACAGAAGAGAAGGAUCCAGCGAGAACGUCAUGAAGAUUUGAAUAGGGAAGAAAAUUCUUCUAAGUCUGAGAAUCGGCAGUAGUCGGACCGCAAGGGGAAAGGACCAUCGGUAGAUGUUAACAUGGUAUUUAUGUUGCCGGUGGAGUAUCUUGCACCCUUUAGUGAUGAUGAGGAAAUAAAUUUCCCUGACCAGAUAGCUCAGUUGGCACUUGAUAGAAUGACAGUUGUGUUUGGGAAGCCUUCCGAUGAUGAAAGACAGCAUCUUAAAGCUCUGUUUGUCAAAGGCGAGGUUGAUGGGCAGCCAAUGUCCAAAAUACUCGUUGAUGGAGGGGCUGCGAUCAACAUUAUUCUGUAUGUAGUAUAACGGAAACUUGGCUAGGCAGAUCAGGAUUUGACCAAAAUAGAUAUGAUGUUGAAACAUUUUGAAGGAAUGUGUCUCCAGCUAAGGGAGCUAUAUGUUUUGAAUUAACCAUCGGCAGCAAGACCUUACCGAUGACUUUCUUUGUCAUCAGUGGAAAAGGUGCAUAUAAUUUACUAUUAGGGAGAGAUUGUAUUCAUGUCAAUUGUUGUAUUCCUUCUACAAUGCACCAGUGUCUUGUUCAGUGGAUAGGUGACAAAAUUGAUAUUGUCCCGGGAGAUUCUUCAUAUGUCAUUGCAUCGGUAGAAGCAGAUACCUAUGAACAGACUAGAUGCAUAUCAGGGGAAGUUUGGCAGAAAGUUUUCCUCAAGGUUGUCCAUUAUGAAAUUCCACCGUUCCAAGCAGUCGGUUUUGAUGAAGAGUUUUAAUGGAUAGGUUCACUGAUGAUGGAAAGUUAGGACAAGGGUUUACAUCGGUUGAAGAUUUAAUAGAAGUAGACAUAGGUAAUGGCGAUAGGCCAAGACCUACUUUUAUUAGUGCAAAGUUAGAUUCUGAAUGUAAGCAGCAAUUAAUUGAGUUGUUAAAGGAAUAUAAAGAUUGCUUUGCUUGGGAUUAUAUCGAGAUGUCUUGUUUAGACCGAUCAAUUAUUGAACAUCUGUUGUCGAAGGUAUCAAUAAGGGAUACCCUAACUGACGCACAUGACGAGAGGACCCGUAUGCCAGUCGAGGCCUCCGACUCAAUGCCACCGGUCACACAAACGGUCAUCGACGUCCAAAGUCUUGAACACGGAAAGGGCGUCAUACGAAUCGAUUAGGGCUCAAGCGCAGGUAACCGUCGAAUACGGAAACAGGCUCAUACGAAUCGAAAGGCCUCGAGCGCAAGGACGCCGCCCGCCGCCCGAUACGGGCACGGGGACCAGGGCAUUUAAUGCGUCUGCUGCGCGCUCACCUAACCCGUCAGUCAUGGGAAGCGUGAUAGGGAACAAGCACCCAUCCAAUCGUUCUUUUUGCAGCCUUGCCCACCAAAUAAGACAGAGUGUGGCAGGGCGCAGCAAGGUGGUCGGAACAUCCCGUCAAGACCCCCCUCAAGACAUCCAAAGUUAGCGCUCCACCCAACGAGGCUUUAAAGUGGUAUUCGACCGUCGAGCAGACACGUUCCUUCCCAGAGAAGGGUCGGGCAACAGAGGACGGCACCUCAACCACUCUGACGCGGCUGCAGUCGCGACGUACGAACGUGCAAUGGAUAAACCGGUCCAGGACAAUGCACAUGAGCAGGAUCCAGGGGCACGCGUAAUCAUCAUCAAAGUACCAAGACAAGACGGCUCGAGGCCACGCCGGUACGGAGGCCUCGAGUAGGUCAACGCGCCAUACUUCUAUCAAUCCCUAUUCUGUCGCCUAUACAUGUACCCUAGACCUCUCCUUGGAACUAUAAAAGGGGAGGUCUGGGAGCGGAUACGUAGGAGAACACUAGUCACACGUAGUAGAGAAACCUUACUCCAUCUUCAUUCAUACCACGCCUGUAUUCACCCCUGUACAAGCACUUAGGUGCAAGAUAAUACAAAAACUCCCCCCCACUGGACGUAGGGCCUUCUCUUGCCCGAACCAGGAUAAAUCUUUAUGUCUUUUCUUGCAUCACCAUCUGGAAAGGGGAACACGCAUUAGUUUUACUCGUUGGUGUGACCCCUCGGAGGGAAAACACCGAUAGUUGGCGCGCCAGGUAGGGGUCCUGCGUGUUUUUCACCGAUUUCCCAUCUUUUUCUAGAUGGCCACUCUUGUUUCGCCGAUUCCAUGCUCUACGGUGAUUUGGUUCGGGAGCCUCGAGUUCAUGUCCACCGGUUUCGGCUAUGAGAUGAUCCUACUCUCGGUCAAAGGACCUAGAGGAGCUCGCAUUGCGCCCGCCCGAUUGAGGGCUCCCAGACGGCCUCGCCACCAUGCCUCCCCGCCCAAGAAGAGGCAUGGACAGCGCCACCAUCACCCCUCUACCUCGUCAUGAUCGCCAGUUCGUGCCAGGUGGGAGGUGACGCAGGAGCCGAUAGCCCCGCGCACCAAAACCGCGGGUAUGACGGCCCGACGCCACGAGGAUCACACGACAACGAUGGGAGACGGCGUGCCUUGCACACUCUCGCCUGCCCCGAUGCUACUUCCACACGGGCUGUUCGCCCCAAGAAGCGCACUGCCGUUCGGUCUGGACAACGCUGUGGCACCGCUCGCCAGGGCAAUAUGUCCAAACGCCCAAACAUACGUGGAGGGACCAAUGGUCCUCCCACACGACACUAGAGCACGGCAACAGACGUCCGAGCUGUCGGAUUUCUCUUAGGUACGAGGCCUGCACCACCUAGGUCCUGGGCGAUACACGAUCACCUCACUCAGGCAACGCCUGCUCGAGGAGGGACGCAGAUGCUUCUAUGCCGCCGAGCCAGACUCCGACUUUGAGUCCGACAGCUACGACCCUACUAGGGAAUGCUUCCAUAUCGACGGGGCGGUAGAAACCACGGACGAGACACAAGACGCCGUUGCCGGCGGUCGAGCCCCUGCAGCAAGGGAGGAUCCCAGGACGCCUGGAAACGACGGUCACGUCGACCCCCCUCCGCAAGAAGACAGAGCCGUGCAACUUGCGCAGCUACGAGACCUCAAAGCGAAGCUCGACGAAGAUCGCGAGCGCCUUGUCCUGCUUGAACAGAUCCUCAAGCAGGACCAGCCAUACCCGCCUGGCGGAAGUGUCUGCAGACGGGCUCGAGAAGUACAUCGACAGAUCGUCGGAGAUGGGGAGCCUGAGCAGCCCGUCAGCCAUUUCCCUCGAGCGGGUCAGAACGUCAUGGCGGCAACAAUGCUGCUACGCAAUAUGCCCGAACCAUCGAACUCCCAAGCGCGACGGAAUUGAGACGAGGUGUAGACUCUGCUCCAAGUGGCGGUAGUUCAGCUGGCCGAGAGCUCGGCCUCUCGACGUCGAGGAGCAGCCACGGAGAAGCGUGAUGAGCCGGCCCAGAACGAAAAGGAGGUGUCGGUCCACCAGCAGCUGCCCCCUCGAGGGAAGAAGACAGCACUCGUCCUCAACCACCCCAUCGACAAUCAGCGACGACACGACGCGACACUAGAAUCGUCGCCGUUGAUGUGGGGACGUGGAAGAGCGCGGUUACAACGCCCACCGCGGCGGGCGAUACGACAGCGAUGAGGACCGGAUGGCCCCGGAACUGCCGGGCCCUCGCAUGUUCAGCAGAGCAAUCCGCAGCACGCCGCUACUUAGCCCGUUUCGACCCCCAACCAGCAUUGCUAAAUACAACGGCGAGACCAAGCCAGAGCUGUGGUUGGCCGACUUCCGACUUGCCUGUCAGUUGGGUGGCGCUCGAGGAGACGAUCGGGCCAUCAUCCGGCAGUUGGCGCUUUUUCUCUCCGACACCGCCCGUAGAUGGCUCGAAGAGCUCCGGGCCAACCAGAUCCAUGAUUGGGUCGAUUUGGUCAGAGUAUUCGAGGGUAACUUCAAGGGGACCUACAUACGGCCUGGCAACUUGUGGGACCUCAGCAAGUGCAAGCAGAAGUCAGGAGAAACUCUCUGAGAGUAUGCUCGACGCUUUUCAAAGCAGCGCACCGAGCUACCGCACAUCCCAGACCACGACGUCAUCCUAGCCUUUGUCUCGGGCACCACCAGCCAAGAUUUAGUGCGGGAGUUAGGCCGGAAUCGCCCUUAGACCGUCGACGAGCUGAUGGACGUAGUGGCGAACUACACUGCACGGGAGGAAGCGGAUGGUGCUUUCUUCAGCUGCGAAGGGGGCAAAGGCAGGUUGCCAGCAGAAGACGAUGAGGGCCCCAGUCGAGUACCCAAGAAGAACAAGAAGAAGAAGAAAGCACGGCCGUUCCAACAGGAGGCCCUCGACGAUGACCUCGUCGCCGCUAUGGUUCGUAAAAGACCUCAAGGCCCCCCUGAAGGAGCUAUCUACAACAAGAUGCUGAAGGAGCCCUGCCCUUACCAUAAGGGAGGGGCAAACCACAAGCUCGAGGAUUGCCGCAUGCUGAAGAGGCAUUUCGACGGCCUGGGAUUCAAAAAGGGUGACCAAAAGAAAGAAAAGAGCAGCGACAAGGGGGACGACAAAGAAGACGAGGGUAUCCCGGUUGUCCACGACUGCUACAUGAUCUACGGUGGACCCUCGACGCAGCUAACCGCAAGGCAGCGCAAGAGGGAACACCGCGAGGUCUCUGCGGCAAGGAUGGCGGUUCCCCAGUACCUCAACUGGUCAAACACCCCCAUCACCUUCGAUUGAGACGACCACCCCGACAAAGUAGUCGCCCCCAGCGUCUACCCACUCGUCGUCGACCCCAUCAUCGUCAACGCUAGACUCUCGAAGGUACUGGUGGAUGGCGGCAGCAGCCUGAACAUCAUCUAUCUCGAGACCCUCGACCUCCUCGGUAUCAAAAGGACGCAGCUCCAACCAAGCGCGGGCGGUUUCCAUGGUGUCGUGCCUGGAAAGAAGGCGUUGCCGGUAGGUCGAAUCGACCUACCGGUCUGUUUUGGCAUAGCAGCCAAUUUCAGAAAGGAGGUCUACACCUUCGAGGUGGUGGGAUUUCGAGGCACGUACCACGCCAUCAUCGGACGUCCAGGCUAUGCCAAAUUUAUGGCUAUCCCCAACUACACCUACCUGAAGCUGAAGAUGCCCGGACCCAAGGGCGUCAUUACCGUCAGCUCCUCCUACGAGCACGCGUACGAGAGCGACGUCGAGUGCGUCGAGUAUGGGGAAGCUGUCGAGAUCUCCAUCGAGCUCGCCUCGAAGCUCGAGGCCCAGGCCAUAGAGGCUCUAAAGCCCAAGCGUCACGCGAGCAGCUUCGAGUCGGCAGAAGGAACAAAGAAGAUCCCGCUCGACCCCAACAACUCCGACGGCAAGGUGCUGAUGAUCAGCGCUGACCUCGACCCCAAAUAGGAAGCCGUGCUCGUCGACUUUCUCCGUGCAAACGCCGACAUGUUUGCAUGGAGUCCCUCACAUAUGUCGGGCAUACCGAGGGAAGUCGCCGAGCACUCCUUGGAGAUUCGAGCCGGUUCCAAGCCAGUGAAACAGCGACUGCGUCGCUUCGAUGAGGAGAAACGCAAGAUCAUUGGCGAGGAGAUCCACAAGCUUUUGACUACCGGAUUCAUCAAGGAGGUUCACCAUCCCGACUAGUUAGCAAAUCCUGUAUUAGUUAAGAAAAAGAAUGGGAAAAUGAGGAUGUGUGUCGAUUAUACGAGUUUAAAUAAAGCAUGUUCGAAAGUUCCUUUUCCAUUAACAUGCAUUGAUCAAAUUGUUGACUCUACCGCGGGAUGUGAAACCCUUUCUUUCCUUGAUGCAUAUUCUAGUUACCUUCAAAUAAAAAUGAAAGAGUCCGACCAGCUCACGACCUCUUUUAUCACUCCUUUUGGGAUGUAUUGUUACGUGACCAUGCCGUUCGGUCUUCGAAACGCGGGAGCGACAUACCAGCGAAGCAUGCUCCAUGUUUUCGGUAAACAUAUAGGGUCGACGGUCGAGGCAUACGUCGACGACAUCGUCGUCAAGUCAAAGAAACAAGGAGACUUGAUCCAGGACCUCGAGAUCGCUUUCAGUUGCCUGCGCACCAACAAGAUCAAGCUCAACCCCGAGAAAUGUGUCUUCGGCGUACCUCGAGCCAUGCUCCUAGGAUACAUAGUUUCUCAAUGCGGCAUCGAGGCCAAUCCCGAGAAUGUCUCGGCCAUCACGAGAAUGGGGCCGAUCCAAGACGUCAAGGGAGUGCAGAAAGUCACGGGAUGUUUGGCGGCGCUAAGUCGUUUUAUCUCGAGGUUGGGAGAAAAGGCAUUGCCACUAUAUCGGCUCUUGAAAAAAGCCGAGCGUUUCUCUUGGACCCCCGAAGCCGAGGAAGCCCUCGAUAACCUAAAGAAGACAUUGACCUCUGCCCCAGUCCUGGUCCCACCUCAGCCCACAGAACCUCUGCUUCUGUAUGUUUCCUCGACGACCCAAGUGGUCAGUGCGGCAGUAGUGGUCGAAAGGCAGGAUGAAGGGCAUGCGCUGCCAGUCCAGAGGCCGGUCUACUUCGUCAGCGAGGUACUCUUGGAAACCAAGACACGGUAUCCACAGAUCCAGAAACUAAUCUACGCAGUGAUCCUCACGCUACGCAAGCUGCAACACUACUUCCUCGGCCACCCUAUCACGGUGGUCUCGUCCUUCCCCUUGGGUGAGAUCAUCCAAAGUCGGGAGGCCACGGGAAGAAUCGCCAAAUGGUCGGUCGAGCUCAUGAGUGAGACCCUCACUUAUGCGCCCCGCAAAGCUAUCAAGUCUCAAGCUCUAGUGGAUUUCAUCGCGGAAUGGACGGACUCCCAGCUCCCCUCGGCUCAAGUUCAAGCAGAACUAUGGACGAUGUAUUUCGACGGCUCUCUCAUGAAGACAGGAGCUGGGGCAGGCCUGCUAUUCAUCUCGCCCCUAGCCGUUCAUACGAGGUAUGUCAUCGGAAUACAUUUUGCUGCAUCCAACAACGUCGCAGAAUACGAGGCCCUUAUCAAUGUGCUGAAGAUCGCCAUCGAGCUAGGAGUUCGGCGCCUCGACGUUCGAGGCGACUCCCAACUCGUCAUCGACCAAGUGAUGAAAGCCUCCAACUGCCGCAACCCAAAAAUGGAGGCAUACUGCAAGGAGGUACGACAGCUCGAGGACAAAUUCCACAGCCUCGAGCUCGUCCACAUCGCCCGAUGCUACAACGAGGCAGCCGACGAACUCCCUAAGAUCACGUCGACUCGAGGCACGGUCCCGCCCGACGCAUUCUCGAGGGAUCUGCACGAACCAUCCGUCGACUUGGGCUCGGGGGCUGACGUCGAAACCACCGCCCUCCAAUAAACCGACGUCAUCAAAGCACUGCUAGCGGCAGCAGAAAUAAUGGAGGCAGAACAGCGACCCAGUCGACCAUUCGACUGGCGCACACCGUUCCUCGACUGCCUGAUUCGAUGCGAGCUACCAGAAGAUCGAUCCGAGGCCCGCCGUAUCGCUCGACGGGCCAUGUCAUACGUAAUCUACGGCGAAGAUAAUGAACUAUAUCGACGAAGCCCGACAGGAAUCUUGCAGCGUUGCAUCACCAUAGAGGAAGGCCGAAAGCUGCUCGAGGAUCUACACUUGGGGGCUUGUGGCCACCACGCUGCUCCACGGACCCUCGUAGGGAACGCUUUCCGACAAGGCUUCUUCUGGCCAACGGCCGUAGCUGACGCCAUCGAGCUUGUACGCUCGUGCCAUGGGUGUCAAUUUUACGCCAAGCAGAUGCAUCUUCCCGCCCAAGCUCUCCAGAUGAUCCCCAUCACGUGGCCGUUCGUGGUGUGGGGACUCGACCUAGUAGGGCCUCUACAGAAGGCAGCAGGAGGAUACACCCAUUUGCUGGGGGCCAUCGACAAAUUCUCCAAAUGGAUCGAGGCUCGACCCAUCAAGAACAUCCGCUCUGAGCAGGCCGUCCUUUUCUUCACCGACAUCAUCCACCGGUUUGGGAUUCCCAACAUCAUCAUCACCGACAACGGCACCAAGUUCACCGACAAAAAGUUCUUGGACUUCUGUGACCGGCAUCACAUCCGUGUGAACUGGUCCGCAGUAGCCCUCCCUUGAACUAACGGCCAGGUCGAGCCUGCCAACGACAUGAUAUUGUAGGGACUCAAACCAAGAAUCUAGAACCGGUUGAAGAAAUUUGGCAAGAAAUGGGUCGAAGAGCUCUCUUCGGUCCUAUGGAGCUUAAGGACGACGCCUAGCAGGGCCACGAAAUAUACCCCAUUCUUCAUGGUCUACGGCUCUAAGGCCGUGCUUCCAACAGACCUUGAGUAUGGGUCUCCUCGACUCAAAGCCUACAACGACCAGUCAAAUAAGGAAACUCGAGAGAACGCGGUCGACCAGCUCGAGGAAGCUCGAGACAUGGCCCUCCUCAACUCCGCCAGAUACCAGCAGAAACUUCGACGCUACCACGACAAGCACGUACGCAAAAGGGAUCUGAAUGUGGGCGAUCUUGUUCUACGGCGGCAGCAAAGCAACCAAGGGCGCCACAAACUGACUCCACCCUGGGAGAGCCCAUACGUGGUGGCCGAGGUCCUGAAGCCAGGGACAUACAAGCUCGCGGAUGAAAAAGGGGCAGUCUUCACCAACGCGUGGAACAUCGAACAACUACAUUGAUUCUACCCCUAGAAUUUCAAAGCUUUAUGUUCCCAUGUAUAUUCUGUACGAAGACCUUAUGAAUGAAUGCAUGAAUGGAUAAGAUCUUUCCCUGGAGUAAUUUACUUUUUCAUUGGUCGAAAUCUCGACGUUAGAAGGGUGUACCAACUAUGACCCAUCAUAGUUGAUACCCCCUCGGGGGCUAGCAAGGGGGGACCUCUCCCCCUAGUGUCUAAAAAACCAAGUGAUUUUUUCUUUCCUACCACUAAACCACGCACAGUCGAGUAGUAGAGGCACCUCGAGCCCCUUAAGGGCCGAGAGACGACGAGCCUGAGAACUCCUACGCCCCCGGGCUAUGGUAACUCUACUCACUCCCUCACCCUCGAGGCAAUCGAGGUUGCCUUAACAAAAGACCAAACGGGGAAUACAGACGUAGCCAAAAAGGAAACAAAAGAGGGUGCGAACAAAGGAAUAAGCAAAUAUUUAGAGAUCUUAUAAACUGUCGACGAAAGCUGGUCGGCAGUCUACCUUGGGGUAUACCCACGGUAGUAGUUUAUCGGUAGACGGUGCGCAAACUACGAACUCGAUGGUGACGCAAGACAUGGACAAGCUUUUUAUCCAGGUUCGGCCGCCGAGUUGGCGUAAUACCUACGUCCUGCGUCUGAUUGUAUUGAUUUGUGUUGAGAGAAUCUGAUGAUCUAGGGGGGUCCCUUGCCCCUCCUUAUAUAGUCUGGAGGGCAGGGUUAUAGAUCUGGAAACUAAUCCUAGUUGGUUACAAUUGCCAUGGAUAAUUCGAUAUCAAUUCCUAUUCUAACCGACUAGAAUCCUACUUGAUCUCCACAUCUUGUUUCCUUGCGCGAAACUCCAAGCUAUCGGAUCAAGCCUCGAACUCGUCUCGUAAUGGGCCAAGCCUCCUGGCCGAAGUCUAGCCGUAAGGGUAUAGGGGUUUAUACCCCCACAGCUAGUCCCCGAGCACCAUGUAUUGUGAUGUAACACGCCGUCUUGAGCUUCUUCGAUCAGUGAGACUUAACGUCUUCAAUAAGCGGUAAAGUCGCCCAAACAGUUGCAACGGUUCUUUGACCAACUCAAAAGACAGUUGAUCAACAUUGACAUCGAAGAAACGAGUUGUUCGAAGAAUGCAUGGUGCUCUAAAUUAAAAAAGAUUUCUUUCCUGGUGAAGUGUGCCCACUUUACUUUUUUGAAAGGUGUAAACCUAAAAAAAGCAAACAUAUUCACCGCAAGGUGAAGUGUGCCCACUUAGUCCCCGAGCCUGGUAGUAGGUGACGUAGGCACAUGGUGCCAAGGUCAAAAUAAAAGUCCUCAAAGAAAUUCUGUAACUGAGAUGCAUCGCCAGAUGCAUCGUACCGAUGUAGUCCCCGAGCUUGCUGGAAGGCGAAGUAUGAGCCUUGUAGCAAGGUCUAAAAAAUUGAAUUCACCAGUCCAUUUGCAAUUGAAUAGACUAAUCGACCAGUCCCCGGGUGUAUAAUAGUUGUUCCGACCAGUCCCCAAGCACCAAAUGCGCACCUUAGAAUUCUGCGUUUCUCUAUUGUACGACCAGUCCCCGAGCAUCGAGUGCUCGGUGGUCGGUGCAGUCUUUGAAGUUCCGAGUUAAUAGACUGGGCGACCAGUCCCCGAGCGUCGAGUGCUCGGUGAUCGGUGCAGUCCUUGAAGUUCCGAGUUAAUAGACUGGGCGACCAGUCCCCGAGCGUCGAGUGCUCGGUGAUCGGUGCAGUCCUUGAAGUUCCGAGUUAAUAGACUGGGCGACCAGUCCCCGAGCGUCGAGUGCUCGGUGAUCGGUGCAGUCCCCGGAUUGUUGACUCCCUGCCAUAUUUGUCUUCUUGUUAUUUGAAAAGAUCUUUCCAGUUAAAGUUGACAUGACGAGACCUCCUGACGGGGUGUCAGAUGGAUGCAUGAAAAGUUGCGCCUGGCAACUGUGCAGCCGCCCUUUGCAUGGUUUGAGAAAAAGGAAACCAUCAAUUGGUACAAAAACUCCGCCGCAUUAAUUGUCUAUAAUCAUUGUAAACCGAAACGCCGCAUCUGCCGCAUGGUCCGCCCACUUCCCGAGAAUACGGGAAGUGGGAGAGGUGGAGUUGCGGGUUAUAAGAGCCUGACAGUUCCGCCUGUACUGCUUACCCUGCCAUUGCCUUCAAGCCUUCCACUCUCGCCUCCUUCAAUCACCUUCAUCUUCGUAACCCAAGUCCACUUCCUCACCUCCAAUGGCGAAGAGCGACUCCAAGAAGAGGGCCGAACUGAUGGCCAAGGAGUGGAAGAAGUCCCGCAGCACCGCCAAGUCGCUCGGUGACCUCAUCGACAUGGGACUCCUGCACAGCUCGGAGCUCGGCGGCUGGAGAGCGCCGGAAGGAGAGAGCUUCCCCGACCCCCGUGCCGGUGAGAUCGUCGUGUUCGAAGAUUUCAUUAAGAGGGGCCUUGGGGUUCCUGUUCAUCCUUUUCUUCAAGGUCUUCUUUUGUAUUAUGAGAUCGGGAUUUGCAAUCUGCACCCGAACUCGAUUCUCCUUAUCUCCACUUUUAUCCAUUUGUGCGAGGCCUAUGUUGGCAUAGAGCCGCACUUCGAUCUCUUUCCUUAUCUUUUCUGCUUAAGGAAAAAGGGAGCAGUUGGAGGCUCCAAGAUUGUAGGUGGAGUAUACCUCAAUCUCCGGGACGGGAUGAAGAACCGGUACCUGAACGGCCCUUGGAAUACCUCUCUUACCGAAUGGUAUAAGAAAUGGUUCUACGUCAGGGAGGAGCCGGGCAGCUCCACAUUCUGUGACGUUGGGUACAUCCCCGAGAAGAGGGUUAGUUGGACCGACCGCCCAGAAUUCGACGGACAAGUAGCAGACCUGAUGAAGCUGAUCGACUGGUCGUGCUUGGACGGGCUAGGGGUGGUCGGCAACUUUAUUUGCUGCCGGGUGAUGCCCUGCCAGAAGAGGGUGCACUCGGCUUAUGAGUACGCCGGGAGCCAGGACCCGACCAGGAUGAGGCCUGAGGUCCUGGAGAAGGAAGAGGUGCAGCAGUUGUUGAACGAACUGUUCAACUUUGCUGACGGAGGCUUCAUCCGUGGUAGUGAUCGGAUGCAAGCUUUCAAGCUGGGACGACCAGCCCCUAAGGUAAUGUCCUUUACUGACUGUGACUCCUUUGCAUUUGUUAUAUUGUCGGAUGCUGACUUGCCUGUAUUUCUCUUUGUAGAUCGGAGAUGUAGACAGGUGCACGGUGUAUGUGUCACUGGCGCCUGGGAUGGAGGAUCCCGCAAGGGAGGAUCCACUGGUAGAGGACGCUGCACGGUGUGAUCGGUACACCAGCAGUGAGGAGGACCAGGCCCGCCCCGUCCCGACCACCGAGGAGAGGGUAGCGGGGAAAAGGCCAUUGCCGGCAGAUCCUUUGCCGACACCGACGUUGCCGGCAGAUCCGCCGGCGGAGAGCAGCCAAGCGCCGAAGCGUCGUCGGCUCGUGCGGAUCGUUGACGACGACGAUGACGAGGUGGCGGCACCGUCACUAGUCCGACGACCUCAGAGCCCCCCAGAUAAUGCGCCGGCCGCUACUGAUCGGGUGGCCAGCGAUCCUCCUGCUCCGCGAGUUGUCGAGAUGGGGGCGCAGGUGCCGGCCGGCCGGGCGAGGAGGAGGUUCACCGCGACCCACCGUCGAUCGGACCUGUAAGUGUUCGACUUACGUAUUUUGGCCUCCUCUUUUUUUUAAUUGCACUUGUGUUCCUUUAGCACGGCAUCGGAUGUCGACCCCGGCCAUGCUGCCGGCCAGGGGACGGGUGAGCCUGUCUGCGCCGCUGAAGACGCGGCACCGCUGACCUCGGGGCAGCCUACGGCUGCAGCCGUGCCUGUGAGCACCGGGGAGCUCCCGGCCGCGGCACCAACUACGGACAGCGGCCCGACCAGGGCUGAGGAGGCUACGGGGACACCUCCCCCAGCUAAUGCCACAGAAGGAGAGGGGAGAGCCCCGACCCCUCCUCCCGCCGAUGAGAGUGAAGUCCCCACGCCGCCCCGAGCAGGGGCCGCUUCGACUUCAGGCUCCCCGGGUCUCGCCCAGGGGCCAGUAAUGCCUUCGACUGCUACCGGGGGCAAUGCGACGGGUGAGGAGGAAACCCGGGCGGCCUCCGACGAUGAGGUGGAGGAAAUUGAAGGUCGUCCCCGCGAUGGCCGCCAACACGUGUAUGUGUGGCGCCAACGCGGGGAUCACUUCAUCGGGCAUGAAGAGCUCGCCGAAACCGAGGAAGCCGCCAGGGUGGAGCGCGCGGCCAAACGCCUCGUCGACGAAGUUAAGGUAAGCGGUUCUUUGCACUGUUGUACAUUCUGUGCAUUGUCUUGUUUGGUUGUCAUAUGUUCGUUUUGUAGGGCGCAAUGAAAACGGCGAAGUACCGGAAACGGUGCUUUGACCAGAUAGAAGGUGUCGUGGCCGAGAACAAGGCCGUGGCUGCGGAGGUAGACCGGCUGCGGUCGGAAGUCAGAGAAAAGGUGGCCGAGAUGAACGCCCAGGAGGAGCGUCAUUUCGAGCUCACUCGUCGCUUGGCCUACCAGUACCGGCAGCGAGAAGGUUAGUCGCGCGCUCAGAGCAGCUUUGUAUAGCUGUGUAGUUUGCUUUACUGACCAGGUUAUGAUUCACGUAGACUUCGAAGAGGAGGUGGCGCGCCUCCGACAAGAGAAGGAGCAGCUCAGCCAAGAGCUCGCCGGUGCGCUGGAGUCCGGGCGCCGAGCAGGAGAGGAAUUGGGUCGGAAGGACCGGGAGUUAUCUGGUAAUGGGUGCCGCCUCGUUAUCUGCCGCUUGUCGCCCCUUUAGUUUUUGAUAUGCCGAAAAUAAUGUCCUGUUUCGUUUGCAGUGCUCAAGGUCAACGCCAAGAAGCACCUGGAUGAGCUGGUCAAGGACCGGGACUCCUGGAAGGUCAACUGUUGUAAGAUCUGGAAAGGAGUAUCCCCGGUCCUGGACCUGAUCAGUCCCGAGCUCCCGGAGAGCCAGCCCCGAGCGCCGAAGUUGACCCCAGUCGAGAAGGCGCAACGAGCGUGGGGCUGGCUCCAGCAGUUCGUGAAGGACGCCGGGGAGUUUGCUGGCGCGCAUGUCCUUAGCAUGGUGCGCGCCCAUUACCCUCCGGUCGACUUGACCAGGCUGGAGAAGGGGUACCCCAAGGAGGUCAGCCCGCAGGAGGCGGACGAGCUUCGGGGUGGUCUGCUGGAUUUGUCGUCGACGGUGAUCGGCGACAUCAAUCUGUGCGGAACGGCCACUCCCCCAGACCAGCCGGGUUCAGAUAGGUCGGCCAGGGAGCUGUCAGGCGCGUCCAUUGCAGGAGAUGGGCGGUCGACGCCUGCGGUCUCGACCAGCCAGGCGCCGGUGGCCCCGACCGCUUCGUCCGGGCAGCAGGGCCAGGCGGGUGAUCAGCCCGAGCAGCUAGGCCAAUAGAGUAGUCUGUAGGAAUAGACCAGUGUCUGCCCGUCAGGGUUUUAUUGUAAACUUUGUAUGUAAAGUUUGUAAUAAAGUUUGCUUUUUGUCAUGACUGUCGUUUUGAGCGCUGUAUAAUUGUCAGAGUGAUGUGUCACCGUUUUCGACUUUGUAGUCGCUAAGAGCUUUCGUUGCAGAAGUUUUGCCAAGUUCUGCGUGCAACAAAGUGUAGGCAAAAAAUAGAAAAUUUUAUUAUUGACAAUUAUAAGAUACUUACAAAGGAAAGUUAUUAAAACUUUAUGGAUAAAAUCGUCGCAGUUUGUCUAUGUGCCAAGAGUUGGGCACGCGUGUUCCAUCUGGGUAUGCCAAUCUGUAGGACGUGGGUCGUGUGACCUCGGUGACCACGAAGGGUCCUUCCCAGGGAGUGGAUAGCUUGUGCAUUCCCUCCUGGCUUGUUCUCCACCUAAGUACCAGAUCGCCGACCACGAAAGAACGGUCCUUGACGUUCCUGUUGUGGUAUCGCCUGACUGCCGCGAGAUAUUUUGUUGUUCGGAGACAAGAAUUCAAACGCUUUUCCUCCAUGCAGUUGAUUUCGAGUUCUCUGGCGUUGUCGGCCGUCGCCUGGUCGAAGUGUUCGAUCCUAGGGGAUCCGAAGGUUAUGUCAGACGGCAGGACUGCCUCGGAGCCGUACACCAUGAAGUAGGGAGACACUCCUGUGUUUCGACUGGUCUGAGUUCGGAGGCCCCAGACCACUGCCGGCAACUCUUUCAUCCAUCGACCGGGUGUUCUGUCGUUCUCGGUGUACAGCCUUUUCUUUAGGGCAUCAAUGAUCAUUCCGUUAGCACGUUCAACUUGACCAUUGGCCCGUGGAUGAGCCACUGACACGUAUUUUAUGACUAUGCCCCUGUAGUCGCAGAAGUCCCAAAAUGUGGUGCCAGUAAACUGAGUACCCAGGUCGGUGAUUAUGCUGUUCGGGAUGCCGAAUCAGUGUAUGAUUUGAUUGAGGAACUCCACAGCCUUCUCGGAGGUUGCUUUGACCAGAGGCAUGUAUUCGAUCCACUUGGAGAACUUGUCGAUUAACACGAAAACAAACUUGAAGUUGCCCGGGGCUGGUUUAAAUGGCCCGAUCAUGUCAAGCCCCCAGCAAGCAAAGGGCCAGGACGACGGGCUGGUUUGAAUUUCGUGAGCGAGUACAUGGGUCCUCUUAGCGAAAAACUGACAUGCUUCGCAGGGUCGAACCAAUUUUUCUGCGUCGUUGACCGCGGUUGGCCAAUAAAAACCUGCCCGGAAGGCUUUUCCGACCAGCGUUCUGGACGCAGCGUGGUUGCCGCAAGAUCUAGCAUGUAUGUCUUCUAGGAGCUUGAUACCAUCAUCUUGGGGUAUGCACUUGAGUAGUAGUUCGGAGCUUGCGUUUUUUCUCAUGAGUUUACCAUCAACCAGGAUGUAGUUCUUUGACCGUCGAAUGAGGCGCUCAUUCUCUGUUUUGUCCUGAAGGCCUGUCCCGUCCGAUAUAUACUUGAUGAACAGGGUACGCCAGUCACGACUACCGGUUGUCAGAGUGGCAUCGUCUAUGAGCAUUGCCUCGGUGGGUUGCUUGUCGACCAGGGUGGAGCCUACGCUUGGCUCGUGAAUGUCCUAGACGAAAAUACCCCGCGGUAUGUGGGCCCGAGAUGACCCUAACUUUGACAACGCAUCUGCUGCUUGGUUCUUAUCCCGGACCACGUGGAUGUACUCUAUGCUAUAGAAGUUGGUUUCCCAUUUGCGAAUUUCUUUGCAGUAGAGAUCCAUCUUCUCGUGGGUUGCGUCCCACUCCUUGUUGAGCUGGUUGAUAACCAAGGCGGAGUCGCCAUAGACAUAGAGGCGCUUGACUCCCAGCUCAACGGCUAGUCUUAUGCCCUGCAGGCAUGCUUCGUAUUCGGCGAUAUUGUUUGACGCCGGAAAAAGGAUCCUAAGGACGUAACGCAGUUUGUCCUUGUUGGGUGACACGAACAGUAUCCCAGCACCGGCACCGUUGAUGUUCAAGGACCCGUCAAAGAACAUUGACCAGUGGUCGGAGACAUCAGGAACGGGAGGCUCGUUGAGAUCCGUCCGUUCAGCAAUGAAAUCGACCAGGGCCUGAGACUUGACUGUGGUGCGACUCUGGAACUCCAGGGAAAAUGGGCAUAAUUCCAUCGCCCAUUUCACGAUUCUGCCGUUGGCGUCUUUAUUGCGCAGAAUGUCCCCGAGAGGGAAACUGGUUGUUACCAAGAUUCGAUGGCCGUUGAAGUAGUGCUUCAGCUUUCUUGAUGUUAUUAGAAUGGCGUAUAUAAGCUUCUGUAUUUGUGGGUACCUGGCCUUGGACACAUUUAAGACCUCACUUAUGAAGUAAACGGGUCUCUGGACCUUAUAGGAAUGACCUGGUUCAUCUCGCUCGACCACUAUUGCUGUGGAAACAACCCUGUCAGUUGCGGCAAUGUAAAGGAGUAGGUCUUUAUUGGGCUGGGGCGCUGUAAGGACAGGUGGUGAAGUGAGGAAGGUCUUAAGCUGAUUGAAUGCGGCGUCAGCUUCCUCUGUCCAAGAAAAUUUUUCCGACGCUUUCAAUAGUUUGAAGAAAGGGAGGCCUUUUUCUCCUAGCCUUGAGAUGAAGCGACUGAGGGCGGCCAUACAUCCGGUAAGCUUCUGAAUAUCCUUGACGUUCUUCGGUGGUCGCAUGUCGAGUACUGCUUUUACUUUUGAAGGGUUUGGUCGUAUGCCGUCACGACUGACAACAUUGCCGAGCAGUAGACCGGAAGGAACGCCGAAAAUGCACUUCUUGGGGUUGAGCUUCCACUUAUACCUAUUAAGCGCUUUGAAAGUUCUGUCUAAGUUGUCGAUUAGGGUGCUCGCGUCCCUUGUUUUUACGACCACGUCGUCUACAUAAGCCUCGACGAGGUCAUCACGAAUCUCGUCGUGGAGGCAUUGUUGGAUGGCCUGUUGAUAAGUGGCUCCGGCGUUUUUGAGUCCGAAUGACAUGGUCGUGUAGCAGUAUGCGCCGAAAGGAGUAAUGAAAGAUGUUUUGAUCUGAUCUUCUUCUUUUAUCGAAAUCUAGUGAUAACCAGAGUAGCAGUCUAGAAAAGAGAGGAGUUCGCAUCCGGCCGUUGAGUCGACCACCUCGUCGAUGCGAGGGAGACCAAAAGGAUCUUUAGGACAGUGUUUAUUGAGAUCAGUGUAAUCAACGCACAUUCUCCAUUCAUUAUUCUUUUUGCGUACAAGAACCGGAUUGGCGAGCCAAUCGGGGUGAUACACUUCUUUUAUGAAUCCGGCUGCUAGAAGCCGUGUUAUUUCUGUCCAAAUAGCCUCCUUUUUGUCAUGAGCGAACCGUCGUAGCUUUUGCUUGAUUGGUCUUGCGGUCUUCGAAACAUUUAAGGAGUGCUCGAUCAAGUUUUGUGGGACGCCGGGCAUGUCUGCGGGUUUCCAUGCGAAAACGCUCACGUUGUCCCUUAGAAACCUGACGAGCGCGUCUUCCUAUUUCGGAUCCAGAUUGGCCCCGAUGAGAGCCAUCUUCUCGGGGCUGCCGUCAACCAGUUGUACUUCUUUGUACUCUUUGGAUUUUGAAUUCUUCCUGGCUGUCGCCUGCUCGGGUAAUCGUAGCUGGUCGGGAGGCAGCUGUGCGGCCUGAGUUGCUGUUUCUGCCAUGCGGAUUGAGAGGUCGAUUGCUUCGGUGAUCUUGAAACUCUCCUCUUCGCAGGUAUACGCAGUGUAGACAUUGCCUCUGACGGUUAGGACACCCUUCUCCGUAGGCAUCUUAAGGACCAGGUAUGAGUAGUGCGGGACUGCCAUGAACUUUGUCAGCGAUGGUCGGCCCAGUAUAGCGUGAUAGGUCCCGUCGAAGUCCGCGACCACGAAGUUGAUGAACUCCGUCCGAAAGUGGUCGGGUGUGCCGAAUUGGACAGGCAGUGUUAUCUGUCCGAGGGGCACUGAACUCUGUCCUGGCAAAACCCCCCAGAAUUGGGCAUCAUAAGGUUUUAGUUGUGCAGGAGAUAUCUUGAGAGCGGGCAGGCUGUUGCGGAAGAGGAUGUCAAUGGAGCUUCCCCCGUCCACGAGCACGCGCUCGAAUCUGAUGCUGUUGAUGCAAGGGUCCAGAAUCAAAGGGAAACGACCUGGCUCUGGAAUAGCGGCUCACUGGUCCUUCCUGCUGAAUGAGAUCUCCCUGUGCGACCACGGGGGAAAUUUUGGGUCUGCAAUCAGCCCGUCCGUGCUGUCUAUGUUGAGGCAUGCUCUCUUUAACAGCUUUCUUUCUCGCUUAGAUUCAAUGGAGACCUUGCCCCCAAAGAUGGAGUGGACCACGUCAGUGGGGCUGACGUAUUGGUGUCGGGGGUCCCUAUCCUGGUCCUCAUCCUCAUCUUCGUGGUCGUGCCCGUCUCGUUUGCCGUUUUUCUUGGCGGAGUCGUCUUGGGCGGCUCGCCGUGUAUAGAUACUUUUGAGGACGCGGCACUCUUCCAUGGUAUGAUUAGACUUUGGAUGUAAUUGGCACGGUCCCUUCAACGUUUUGUUGUAGUCUUCUUGGUAGUCCCGCCGCCCGUUGGGCCACUUGACCGUAUUUACUUCGUUGUCGUAGUUGCGGGGGCGCUUUCCUCUGAAAUCGUCGCGGUUGUCGCGCCGCCGAUCCCAACCUUCUUUGUGAUCACGGUUGUCGGGGUGGCAGUGGUUCCUGUUGUCGUAGCGACCACGACCGUCAUCACGCCGGGGAGGCUGGUCGGGACCUCUCGCAUCGUCUCGGAUUAGUUUUUCAGCGUCGUCGGCGUCGGCGUAAUUUUUGGCCGUGGCGAGGAGCUCCGCCACGGUUGUUGGCCAUUUACGCAACAGCUUGUUCCUCAGCGCUUCGUGGAAACGCAGGCCCUUGAUGAAGGCAGAGAUGGCCUCGUCGUGGGAAAUCUUCGGGAUCUUAAGGCGCAUAUCCGAGAAUCGUCGGAUGUAGUCGCGCAGAGGUUCGUUCUUUCUGUCCCUUAUCCUUUCGAGGUCAUACUUGUUUCCAGGCUGCUCGCAUGUGGCGAUGAAGUUGUCGAUGAAAGCCUGGCGUAGCUCUUCCCAAGAGUCGAUGGAGUCCUCGGGCAAGCCAAGAAGCCACUGAUGACCGGCCUGGUCAAGGACUACGGGGAAGUAGUUGGCCAUGACGUGCUCAUCUCCCGCUGCUGAUCGGACAGCGAUUUCAUAGAGAGUGAUCCAGUUCUCUGGAUUUUCCUUGCCGUCGUAUUUCUUAAGUUUUUCGAGCUUGAAAUUGCGGGGCCACACGACCUGGCGGAGGUGUGAGGAGAACUGUCUUAGGCCCGGGGGGCCGUGUGUUGCGUCGUACUCGAUACGGCGCAGGUUUUCGUGGACUGCUCUCUCUGUGGCACGCUUGUUAAUGCGGUCCCGAGCAUCUUUGGGAGGGAUGUUGUGCCGGAGAUCCCUGUGCUGGUUUACUUCUUGACCGUGUCUGCGGUUCUGCUCGCGGUGACCGUCAGUGUCCCGACGACCAUCGUCACGCCGUGAAUCUUUUCGACGGUUGUCGGGAGAGCGGCUGUGGUGACGCCUGCUGGGAGGUGGUGAGGUCCGGCUACGAUUAGUCUGGUUGGAGGUGGCUUCCUUGUAAGAGACGUCCUGGACUCUCUUGAGCAGAGUGGCUGUCUGUCCCAUUGCGGCGAUCAGGUGUGCUCGGAUGCUGGUCCGGACUCCCUGGCACUCGGGGGUAUCAGGGAGCCGAUCUAAAUUAGCCAUGGCGACAGCCACGUUAGCGCUUGGCCUCUUGUAGACUGGCUGAUCCCCGACCAUGUCAAAAGCGUCGUUAAGAUUAUGUGGUGGGAUUUGUUGUUGUUGCUCGUCUGCGCGUCGUCGGGCGUGAUAGGCGUUACGCUGCUCGCGGAGUUGCCUCUGCUCAUCUGUUUCUCCAUCAACGACCGGUUCGUCGGUGCUGACGUUGAAGACAAUAUCUCCUCGCCGGGGGGGAAAUAUCGGGAAACGAGGGAAACCCGGUGGGUGUGAAGGCAAAUCCAGGUCGUAGUCCUCGUCUUCGGUGUUUAUAACUUCGGUGGGGACGGAGCCGGUGCUCGAGUUGGUGCAGGAAGCCUGGCCGUCCUGUAGUUCUCGGACUGUCACCAUGUUGACAUAGUGACGACCGUUUCUCUUUGGGUACCAACCCGCUUCGCUGAAAACUGAUUUGAUGUGCCGUGAAUAGAGAGAGACCGAGUUGUUCAGGCCGCAAGGAUAGUCUCCCUUCUUGAGCUUGACAGACCGUCCUGAGGGAGUUGAGGUUAUCGUCAGAGACGUUCCCAGCCGUUCGUGUGUAAUGACACGAGUUGGCCGACGGGAUUUGAAAAAAUCCGUUGGAGCAGCUUGAUCAGGCUGGCGCAAGAUUCCGUCCACUAGUUGGGAGGCUUCAAGUAGCUUGGAAUCAGCGUGGUCGAGCGCUUGGAGAAGAUCCGAGCAGUCGAUCUUCUUUCCCUUGUAGAGCGGGAACGGUAGUCGGGCGCUCGGUGCCGUCACGCGAGUGGUCGGAGACGACGUGUUCUCAGAUUGGAUCUGAGUUUCUUUCGAAACCGUGGUUGUGAGGCCGCCGCUGAGCGUCGUCCACGUGAUCUGGCCGACGGUGAACGUGAGGCCUUCAGGCACGCCCGCGGAAGCUGGGAUCGUGACCAUCUUGUUCGUCGGAGAAGUUGCACACACACCCCCUACCUGGCGCGCCACUGUCGACGAAAGCUGGUCGGCAGGCUACCUUGGGGUAUACCCACGGUAGUAUUUUAUCGGUAGACGGUGCGCAAACUACGAACUCGAUGGUGACGCAAGACACGGACAAGCUUUUUAUCCAGGUUCGGCCGCCGAGUUGGCGUAAUACCUACGUCCUGCGUCUGAUUGUAUUGAUUUGUGUUGAGAGAAUCUGAUGAUCUAGGGGGGUCCCUUGCCCCUCCUUAUAUAGUCUGGAGGGCAGGGUUACAGAUCUAGAAACUAAUCCUAGUCGGUUACAAUUGCCAUGGAUAAUUCGAUAUCAAUUCCUAUUCUAACCGACUAGAAUCCUACUUGAUCUCCACAUCUUGUUUCCUUGCGCGAAACUCCAAGCUAUCGGAUCAAGCCUCGAACUCGUCUCGUAAUGGGCCAAGCCUCCAGGCCGAAGUCUAGCCGUAAGGGUAUAGGGGUUUAUACCCCCACAUAAACCACUUAAAAACACAAUAUUUCCUUAAGACAAAAUAAUAAGUACUGUACAAGGUGCCUUAGCACUCAGGACAGGCUCGCAGGCCUCAGUCGCUGUCUCGGCCCUCACCACCCUCGUCCAUGCCCGAGCUAGUCUCGGGAGGAAGUACUUCUAGCUCGAACAGCUUCGUCAACCUUUCCCCAGGGGCCUCCGCGUCGUCAAUCAAGGCAUGGAGCCUCUCCUCGUUCUCCACGUCGGUCUUGGAAAUGUCAGUGACGAAGCCGUGGGACACCACCUCCAUAUCGUAGGAAAAGCCCGAGCAGACAACCGCGAUCGCCCGCUUCACCCCGAUAUGAAGGGCAUCCCGCACCCGGUCCCUCAGCGUGGCACCUAGGUAACACAGCUGAUUGACCAGUGCGUCGCCUCGAGCCGCCUCCCUCGACUCGUCCACAGGCUCGAGCUCCCAGGAGGCCGAGAGAUCGCUUAUCGCAGUCCGUAGCCGACCGUUCAAAGCAACCUCCCCCUCGAGCUGAGCCUUGGUGGAGUGGCCCUGGACUUGAGUAGCUAGCAGCUCGUCUUUAAGCCCUACAAAGGCCGACACAGAGAAGUUAGAUAACACAAAGCACGCCUUGGAAAAGAAACAUGACGAUAAUAAUCGUACCACGAAUCUUCUCCUCUAGAGCUGUAUUCUCGCCAACCAAAUCGUUAUUGGCCCUCUCGAUCUCCCUGUGAGAGCGGGCCAGGUCGGUGUUGGCGACCCGCAAGUCCUCGAUCGCCUUGCCAGCUUGCGCGAUAGCUCCAUCUUUUUCCAGCAACGCCCUCAUCACACGAUCGACGUCAUCAGAGAGGCUGCGAGAUCGAGCCCGCUCCGCCUCGAGAUCCUCGAGGGCCUUCUUCUUAGCCUCCUCUGCGGCGCUUCGAGCAAUCUCGCCCUUCACACACUCCACCUUCAUCUCUUGGAAGGCUUCUCGGGCAUAGACAAGGUUAGCCUUGAUAAUGACCUUUUCCUUGUCAAGAUCGGCGGCGGCUCCCUUAUAGAAUGCGGCCUCUUCCCGAGCCUUGAACGCAGCCUCCUCGACCGUCAUGGUCCGGUCCCUCAGCAGCGUGGUCCCUUCCACUGCCUUCCUCGAGGCCUCCUGAGCUUCGGCCAGAGCGGCCUCCCUCUCCUUCUUCUCCUCCUCGAGCGCCAAAAGCUCCUUCUAAGCCUUGAGGAGCUUCUCCUGCGACUCCAGGAGUUGGUCCUUGAGGAGAGGGAGUUGCUCCCAGCCGCCCCUCGUCGCGUGGAUAAAACUCGACUUUAUGCGGGAGGUCUCUUUCAGAUCCUGCAAGCCAGCGGUUGAAAAGUAAGAACGCAAAGCCAAACGUCCUAUAGUAACUAAGGUCCCAAGGACACUUACAAAGUAAGCCGGACCGAGCCCGUUGUUGACGACGUCGGACAGGAGCCCCACCACAUCUUUCAUCUAGAGGCGAAGCUCCUCGAGAUGUUCCCACUUUUUGGCCUCCUUUCGAUCAUCCAUAUAUAUGUUAGGCUCGGAUGGGUCGGUGGAGGCCCGAAUGCGGAUCCGAUCGGGGCACCAGUUUUCCAUCUCCUCCUCCGUGCGCGCCUUGACACCCUGGAUGAGCUCUUGGACAGUCUCGAGCGACCCCCCAUGACGUAAAAAUAGGUCGAUAAGGGAGGGGAAUCGCCCAUCAUCAUCCACUGUCUUCUAGGUCCCGGUCUCGUCGGUAGCGCCACCACCUGACGUCCCGGCUUCAUCCUCCUCGGCGGGUUUGUGAUCUUCCCACGGCCGUUGCUCUCAGAGAAAUCCGGGAGCGAUCCACUCAAUGCCGUAGAUCGUGCCCUUGAUCUCAGACUGAGGGUCCACCGGGGUGCGCAUCAUGCAGGCGAGCGCCACCACGCCAUCCGCCCACCCUGGCUCAGCCGGGAUAGAAGCGGGCGCUCCCGGACGGAGCCACGCAGGUGUUGGUGGACCAUAGACCGUGUUGACGGUCCUUAAUGCUCACAUUUAACCAUCAACUAAUCAUGGAAAAGGACCUAUAUGCAACCAACACCUAGAGUUAGGGUUUUAUCUGAUAAAAUUCCACGAGUUUGGUGUUUGUCUAUUUCUGUAGGGGGUUAUCAGGAAAUACGGAAGAAAGGCCCACACGUCGGGUUUACAUAGAGAUAUUAACGUGUCGUGCAAUUUUCUAUCAUCUAGAAGACUCCAGAAGCCACGGGAACGAACGGGAAGGCAAUCGGGCUCGGAGGCAGGGCGCCCACCCAACUCUCCUGGGCGCCCGCCCAGCUACAGUGUCCAAUUCGGACCCGUUUCGCGGAUCGUGCAACACCGACCUAAAGGAUCAAGGAAAACCAUGCAAUUAAUGUCGGUUUAAUCCGACGGCCCAGAUUCAUCUGAAAAGACUAUAUAAGCAAGGCCCCCUGGCCCCUGGAGAUCAUACCUCUUCUACAGAAUCAAAGCUAGGGUUUCAAUUCUUCAUCCAAGUAGAGGGUUCUUCUAGGGUUCUUCUAGUUCUACCUCUAGUUCAUCUAGAUCUAGUUCUAGUUCAUCUAGUUCUAGUUCUAGUUCCUCUAGUUCUAGUUAUAGUUAGUUCUAGUUGUAAUCUAGAAAAUAGGGAGAGAGAAGAGGAGAGCGUAGGAGGAGCCGGAUCUGUCGGAUCUUCCUCAACAUUAUACUUUUGUAGCAUCUGGUUCGUUCUUCCUCGUUCUCCAGGUUCUUCAAUUCAUAAUUCCUGAGUUCUCUAAUUACUUUUAUUUACAUUGAAGUUAUUUAUUGGAUUCCCGCUUGCAUCAAGUGCUCUAAUCAUUGAAACAUUAGAGUAGUAAUUAAUAGAUUAGACGUGGUGUUUAGUCUUGCAAUUACCUGGAAUUGCACCCAAUCCUGCAGAUUGUUGUGGUAGCCUUAGGGUAGUGACAGCCCUAACGGUCGACGUAUUCCACCUCAUUCGGAUCGGUGUUUGUAGGACCGUAGUCGGAGCUUCCUAGCCCCCUUCUCAUCUCUUUCUGUGGUUAGUGUUCUGAUGUCCCGAAAUAGAUAAUCUUGAAGUAAUUCUUGAUUCUUAGAUCCACUAGAGAACUCUCAGGAAACUUCCUCUCUUCCCACCAAAAAUAAUUAUAUAGUUAUCCUUGGGCGAUCUUGAUUCUUAAUUAGUACACUCACGUUCCCUGUGGAAAAUCGAUACUCUGGAAUACUCCCGGGUGAAAGCUACAUCGGUAUCCGUGCGCUUGCGGAUUUUUCUGUUUGCGUUUAAAAUACCCAACAAGCUUUCUGGCGCCGUUGACGGGGAACGGUAGCUGUGCUAGUUUCAAACCAAGUCGUCCGUGUAUCCUUUUUCAUUUCCUUUUUACCACACUCACCUUAUCAUUUUUACCAUACCACAUGGAUUUCACUCUAAGCAUUAAUGAGCAUGGAAUUUAUUUCAUAGCCACUUCAUUUACUCCAUGCUCAUAUGCAACAUCUUCACAAUCCAUUGGUCUCUCCAACAUCACCACAUUCGAGAUCUCCAACCCCCUCUUCCUUUCUAUUUAUAAAAACUUUAAAAGGGCGGUUGUCGAUGCAUAUGUCUAUAUUAAAUAUUGCAGAUCUCGUUGAGUUUAUCUUGAUAUAGGUCAGUGUUGGAGGGGAAACCACUUCACCGACAUAAAUCGAUGGUUUCCCAAGGACAAGCUUAGUGUCCUAAAACAAACACUGAUCAGAUUGUAACGUGAGCUUUUAAUUAUUUGCAACAUUGCCUUGUGUUUUGAGCAUAUAAGGAUAAUUGUAAAAAAAAUUAUCCAAACUUGAAUUUUGCAAAAUUCAAGCUUGGGGGAGUACUUUACAUAAAAACAUCCUUUGCCAUAUUGCUAUGUUGGUUGUCCCUACCUUUGAGACAUGCUCAAUUUGUUAAAUACUAAUCACACUACUUCAUCUCCACUUGAGUAGAUUUCUAUAAAUGCUCUCAUGCUACCUUUAUUUGCUUUAGUAUAUGUUUAGGUUUGGAGUAGUUUUAUUUAUCUCUUAAUUAAGCAUGGUGCUUAGUUAGGAAUGAUGAUCUUACUUCCAAGGGAUUUUAAAUUAAGCAUGGUGCUUAGGUUAAAAUGCCCUCCUAAAUCAAAUUAGACAUGGUGUCUAGGUUGAUCUUUGAGCCGAUAGUAUGCUAGAGUAGAUAUUGGAUAUUUUGUUGGACUAACCUCUGUAGGAAAACUUUCAAUAUCGACCUGGGAAGUCCUGAGAUAAGCUCACAUUGGAGACAAAGAAAGAGACGCAUGAAGUUUAACAAUUUACACAAGGAAGGCAUAUCUCACAAGAGAUGAUCCAUAGAGGGUGCCAUAAACACGAUGCACAACCGCUAAGAAAGGAAAGCUUCCACAAGGUGAUACUGUACCAUCACUCUUCAAGUAAGGUAACAUCUUAAGGUACUUGUCUAUCACUUUUAUAAGGUUCUCCUUAGUUCUAGUGUUCACAUGAAUAAAAGAGACAAACAUGUAUGAUUUACAACUCUAGAUUAACCAACCCAAUCGAUUCAACAUGUUUAGUCCUUCCACCUUUGUGAUCCUACACUCCUAAUCAUAUGAGCUAAAGUGUUGCACAUUCAAUCUUUGGAAGAUAUAAACAAAACAUAAAUAUAGAUAGAUUAUCUUUUCAUUAGGUUGAGCGAUUUGAUCUCACAAAUGUUUUAAAUGUUACACCCAUGAUCUUAUUAUCCAUCAACUUUGUCUUGCUCACUAUGCUUAAGGUUAGAGAAGAACAAAUACACUUUUGGUUCUGUUGGUGUUUUCCACCAACAGGGCCCGUGCACAUGAUCUCUGCCUUGUCUCUAUGAGCAGGUACACUUCGAGCAAAAUAUAAAGGAGUUUCACAAUUCCCAGACUCCACCAAGUUAAGAACUUAGAUCUACGAGCACAAACACACUGGAGAGACUGGACACUCAGGCAAUCACUGCCCUGAGAUGCUUGAGGACAUAACUACUGGAGUAACCCGUGGAAGUAAUUACUGACCUUCUGCCGGUCAAGAGAGGCGAUCCAGGACGCACCGUCAUCCCGAUCUCCAUUGGCAUGGUGGACUUCCCAGAAGUACUCUGUGACUUUAGCUCCAGUGUCAACAUUAUGCCCAGGGUACUCUAUGAAAAAUUCUUUACACAUCCUUUCCUAGAAACAACCAUGUGUUUGCAGCUUGCAGAUCAGACACUAAGUUUCCCAAAGGGAAUAUUGAAGAACCUCUACGUCCGAGUUGGUACCUUAUACGCUCCAGCAGACUUCGUGGUGACAUGAAACAAGGAAGAGGACCAACAGGAGGAACAGGAACAAGCAAAUGUUGACCAUGUCAGCAAAGAUGGUCACUGCAGUUCAAGGAGGUCAAGAUCGUCGACUUAAGUCACCGUUCCUAACCAAAAAGGAUGACCCAAGUAUGCCAAGCAUCCAGUGCUCCAUUGAUGGAUACAACUUCCAGAAGAUGCUUUGCGACACUGGGUUAGGUGUCAACAUAAGCAGUCACCUAUCAGCUCCUAUUCAGAACCAUGCCCCUAAAACCGAUAUACAUUCAGCUUCAGAUGACAGAUCAGACACUCUGAAAGGUUAUUGUCAUGGGAGAAGACGAAUUCACACUCAUCAUCAAUGGGAGACCGUUCCUUAGCACCGUUAAAGCAAUCAUCUACAUUGGAACCGGAGAAGUCCACAUGAACUUCUCCUCUGAGAAGGUACGCUGCUAUUUUACUGACCCUAACUAUAUAGUUGAAGACUCUAAGCAGGUCAGGAAAAGAAGGAGACGAUGCAAUCGCAACCAGAGGAGGCAAAUCAUCAAGGAUGGAUGGGCAGACUACGAAGGAGAAGUGGCACCACCGGAACCACCGACUAUGCCAUCCAGCGAAUCCCAGGACGAAUGAGAAAACGGAGAGUCCCGUUCGGAGGACAUAAAAACACCGAACGCCUUGCCAAGAGGUAAACUGGUAGUUAUCUUUUUCCUUUCAAUUAUUUUAAAAUAGUUUCCUUAGUUAAUCUGGUUCAUAUCAUCUUGAAAAGAAAAUAAAAAUGUAAAAAAUAGUAAGCCCUAUGUGAGUAUGCUCAUGACAUAAAACCCAUAAGUACAUUCACUGUGGUGGCAUAAAAUAAAAUAAAUAUAUUUAUGUGCUAUAAAAAUGAAAAUAUAAAAAUAAAUUUAUGAUCCUACCAAAGAGUGUAACAUUUAUUGAGGAGGCUCAACAUGAUAAAGGCUAGAUAUUUAUGCUAACACUUAACCAGUUCCACAAAGCUUUGUUGUCUAUUUGAGCUCCACAGAAUUUAAGGAUCAAAUAAGACUAGCAGACGGAGGACAUCCUAACCACUGUCAGGAUGCUGCCGACAUUCAAAAACACCUCCGCCACCUGCUAGCUACAUCAGAAGAAAUUGCGACAAAAUCCAGCUUGGGGGAGAGCACCCCCAUUUAUCCAGACGUUUAUAUUUUACUUAAAUAAUAAAAAGAUGCAUAAUCAUAAAAACCCAAAUAAAGAUUUUGUUCUUAUAUUUUUGCUUAGUUUGAUAAAUAAAUAAAUAAAUAAAAUUUGCUAUGAACCCUCAUGAUAAGCUCUCAAAUGGAAAUGAUGAAUAGUUGCUCUACCACGACUAGUUCUCAAAAUUGAAAUCUCUCUCAAGUUUAGGCAUGACUGGUAUUAAUUAAGAUUUGCUCUAAACCUGAACUUGUGGGAAGAGUACUUGAUCUAGACUCUAAGUCGUUAACGGAUAUGAUAUGGGAAGGUUGAGCUGCUGUUUAUCUGUUCCUAGAGAUGCUAGAAUUCUGGAGAAUUUUAUCUUUGAAAAAAAAAUCUUUAAAAUGUCGCAUGAUGAAUUCCUGUAUGAUGAGAGUUUAAAUACCUACCACAGCCAUAUAUACAUGCUUGCUAGACUUUGAGCCACACAUUUACUUUUUACUGCUUAUGAGCAUUGAGUGUGGUCAAGCUGUGUAGACCCUUAGGAGCUUGUCAUGCGGUUAAAUCAAGAUUCACUUGCACGUUCACUCAUACAUGCUACUUCUACUUCGGAAGUACGCAUCCACAUAUAUCCACCCAUUUUCAUCUCCAAAAUCACCUAAAAAUAUUCUACUCCUAAUCCGGGAGAGAAUAGCCAAAAACAUUUCUGUUUUCCCCUUUGAAAUAAAUGCUCAAGUUAUCUUGGUUACUACCACUCGCUAUAUUAUUUCAGGAAAUGAGUGCUCUAAAAAAAGAGAGAGAAAAAAAUAAAUACGAGGAAAUAAAAAGGGGCAAGUGCCUGGAACCUCGAAAGAAAAAAAAAGUGAGACGAGAGGUAAAAAUGGACAAGUGUCCGACAGUAGAAUUAGGGGUACAAGAUACCCACCUGAGAGAAAAGAAAAAUAAAAUAUAGAGCAUCUCAUUCUCCUCAAAAAGUUUCAAAAGAGCAACAAAGGUAUGUAUCCAGUCAAAAGAGCACAAGUAGAAUUAGAUUUUCACCAUUGUUAUCACCAUCAUCACCAUACACCAUUCAUUCGUCACACAUGCACAUCUUGAUUUGACUUAUUGACUUGUUCUUCUGGAUCCAUGGUUUGACUAUGCAAUAAAUGUCUUGUAAGUAUGUAUUAGCUGUCUCCCACCUAUGAGCUCCAGAUAUCAAAACCUUAUUAGAGUAGGGUGAGAGAGAAGGCAAUGCUACUACGCCUCAUACCAAAAAUACUAUAUAUUUUGAGAGAAGGCAUAUACCAUCACUACCUUGGUAAGGAUCUAGAAAUACCACAAAAGAGAGACUAGAGAGUAAUACAAGGAAUCUUUGAGUUUUAUUUGAAAAUCUGCAAAAACUCCAGAGCUAUAGUUAAUCAAAGAACAAAAGACAUGGCGCUUGACUAGACCGUUCUAUCUUUUAACUGCUCAAGGCACAAGUGAAGGUUGCAAGCCCCAUGGUGGAAGGUAAAAUGAGUAAGUUUAAAUCUUAACAGUUUACCCUACCUAGAGAUGAGAUCUUGUUUGAACGCAUGUACCUUUAAGGCAUGAAACCACUGCAGAAACUCUUGAGUCCAUAUUUGCUCUGGGACGAGCAAAGGUUAAGCUUGAGGGAGCUUGUUGACGGUCCUUAAUGCUCACAUUUAACCAUCAACUAAUCAUAGAAAAGGACCUAUAUGCAACCAACACCUAGAGCUAGGGUUUUAUCUGACAGAAUUCCACAAGUUUGGUGUUUGUCUAUUUCUAUAGGGGGUAAUCAGGAAAUACGGAAGAAAGGCCCAUAUGUCGGGUUUACAUAGAGAUAUUAACGUGUUGCGCAAUUUUCUAUCAUCUAGAAGACUCCAGAAGCCACGGG